rnacentral:lncRNA from 1 species
UAUAAGAGGGCCGAGACCAGCUUUGUGAUUUCAAGCUUUGUGAAGAAGUAGAAUGUGGCGUAGAGGAAGAGGUACAGAGCCGAUGAGCCAGAUGUGAGGUAUGAUCUCCACCACCACAAGUAAUCCUCGCUGCACAACUGGAAGUAGCAGAGGACGAUGGUGAUCUCAGCGCAUGUGAUGAUGAGGAUGAUGAAGACCAAGAAGAGGAAACCAAAGAUGUAGUAGAACUGGUUCAGCCAAAUUGAAGUGAGGAUGAAGAAUAGUUCGAUGAAAACUGCUCCGAAUGGGAGGAUCCCUCCAAUCAGAAUUGAGAAAACUGGGUUCAUGUACCAGGCCUGUUCUGGGAUCUGUCUUGGGAUUUUGUUUGUCUUCACUGGGUCCUCAAGUGCUGGCUUCCUGAACCCAACAUAGCCUCCCACAAAUACGAGUGGGACUGAGAUUCCGAACCAUAAAAAGACCAGGGCAAACAUUGUGCCAAAUGGCACAGCUCCAGAUGAUUUCUGGCCCCAAAUCAGAGUGUUCAAGACAAUGAAAAUGGCAGAGACAGUUGCUGGGAACAUGACAGCAGUUCUGAAUGCAAUUUUCUUCCAUUCUGUACCUUUAAACAUCUUGUACAAGCGAACAGAGGCGUAACCAGCAAAAAUUCCCAUGAAGACAAAAAGCAAGAGCAUUGCAGUCAUAAGACCGCCCCGGUUAGAUGGGGAGAGGAAGCCAAGGACAGCAAAAAUCAUUGUCACCAGUAUCAUUCCAAAGAACUGAACACCAGUUCCAACAUAUACGCAGAGCAAUUCAGAGUUAUUUGGAGCCCGGAAAACAUCCCCGUGGACAAGUUUCCAUCCUGUCUCUUCUUGCGCUUCUUCCUGGGUCUCAAGUUCAUUAUACUUGGAGAUAUCACGGUAGAGUGUUCUUAGCAUAAUCAUCGCUACCAUACCCGAAAGGAAGAGGACAAUCAUCAAUGAGUUGACAAUUGAAAACCAAUGGAUUUGGUCGUCACUCAUCAGUAGAUAAGCAUCCCAUCUAGAAGCCCACUUCACAUCACUCUCCUAAACAAGUAGACAUGAAAAGAAGUAUCCUAUGAGACGACUAGUUCCUCACAAAUCACAAAGUAUUUAUGACAAAUAAAUGAUGCUAUAAUAAGCAAACAGUAGACAGUAAAUUAUGAGUUAUAAUUCUCCUAUGAGAAAAUACCAAGUAAAAUUUUAAAUUAAUGAGCUCACCUGGAAUUCAACAUCAUAGGUAAAUACGAUUUCUUGCUUUUCGGCAACCUCUUGAGGAGAGUUAGAAUUAACAACAGUGUGUUUCGAAUGGGGGUCACAGGUAGUUAAACGAGUCUUUGCAUCAUUCCAUUUCCCUUCAUAUUCAUGUUUAACACUGGACAUUCAACACACAAACAAACCAUAUUACCAACUGAUAAUUUAGAAAGAAGAUUCAGCAAGGAGGAAUCAUUCAAGAGAAAAGCAACCCCCUGGAAAAACCGACCUGAAUGGUUUAACCUCAAAUCCCACGAUUCUUGCUGUUUCAGUUUGCGAAUCUCUAUGGUACUUCACAGUAAAUGCCAGAUGGUUGUGGAUGAAGUAUUUCUCUUCUUUGCUCUGAGCACAACAACAUAGCAUAAGAAAGAGAAAAACAUAAUCAUCCCCGAAUAAGAAAGUUAUUUGGUGCCAACAAAUAAUGGACAUACCCCAGCAUAAUGGCCUUUGAGCCCAACGUGGAAUCCAAGCUGAUAAACUGUAGGAGCGUCUUGGUCUGGCCUUUGAAUGGGAAAAACUAGAGGUAGAUUAUCAAGGAUCCUGUCAUAGAAAAAGAAAGUCUUAAUAAGAUAUGUGACUUCGUUUCAGUUCCUCUAAUAUAAAAGAAUACAUCAUUUAAAGUGUCAGAAAAAUACAUGUUCACUCGAUACUCAUCAUCUAUCUUCUCCUUAAACUGCUUUACAAUUUUGGCAUCAGGCGUUAACCGGCAGACAAUGUUGCACAUCUGAGGCUCCCGCAUUUUAAACUGCACAAAUCCUGUUGUAAGUUUAUGAACAUAGGAGAAACAAAUAGCCAUAGCGUUGUACAGGUGAAAUAACACAAACCACAUAGGGGGAGUUCUCGAUCCGGUCACCGCGGAGCACUUCCCCAAGAUUCUCUGUACUGUCCAAGAUUUUAUCAGGUUUGCAGUAACGGAGAGAGUAAUAUGAGUAUGGAAGCUGAGUCUUUGUAGAAGUCAAUUUGUUCACUUUAACUUUCAAAUCAUCUCCCUGCAUUCAAAGAUCCAAGAGAACGAAAUUAAUACAAAACAUCCACCGAGGAAAAGCACUUUGCUUCUCAGUCAAGUGAAGUAAAACAAUGACGAAAUUUCAAAUCUAAUUUACGAGAAAUAAUUCAAAUUCCACAAUCAACAUUUGUAAUGCAGUGAAACCUAAAUGACGAUCUUCUUAGAGUACUUGCUUAGGGCAUAUACAGAUCGAUAUCGGACCAACCAAGAUCUGAUGUGCCGCGAAUUACUCUCACAAUUACAUUGCUCUACGCAUCAAAGUAUUAAUAAAACACAUCCUAAGAAAAUCGAAGAAAUAUACAGAGCAAAAGAACACAUAUCAAAACCUACAAAUCUCAAGAUUUGAACUAUGCCAGAGGUCAACUAAACCUAAAUCGACAAUCAUUUCAAUAGCAGAGUAGCGACCAAUCGAAUUCACGAUAACCUAACCUCCAAAAAAAUUCACGAUAACUUUAUCUCCAAUCCUUCUAUUUUCCUCCAUUUUCUCGGCAACCAAACGGACGAAACCUAACACUAGGUCACAGAUCCGAACAGCGAACACGCAGAUCACUCAUUUCAUACAAAAACACAUACAAUUUCAACAAAAAAUCGAAAUUAAAUGAAAUUACAGAUUAGAUUUGUCGGCGAUUGGGAGCUGACCUUGAUGAAGUCCUCCGGAGCGACGCCGGGGAGGUAGAAGGAGUGGGCGCCAUGGACGAGAAGUAAGAGGAUCACAGAGAUCGCCAGGACUGCCGGAGAUCUACGAGAUGCCAUGGCCUCCGAUUGAGAGAGAAGAGGAAGGGUGUGCAGAUCUGGAGGAGGAGGAGGAGGAGGAGGAGGCGAAGGAGGAGGAGGAGUUAGUUUAUUGGUUGGUGGUGUAAUGGCGUUUAAUAGUUGGAUUCGUAUUUGUCUGUCGCGUAGAAAUAAAAUAAAAUUUUAACUAAAAAAUUAAAAAAUUAGAGUUGAAGAAAAAAAAAAUAUUAAAAAGGGAACAGAGGAGGCGACUGGAAGCUUACAAGGCGGGUGGACUCCGCGCUUUCUCUCCGGUGAGAUCUGGUGUACGUGUGGGUCCCUUUUUUAUAAAGAUAUGAUACAAAUAACGAUACAAAUAUUUGGUAUGAUUUCUUCUUUAUUUUUUAUUUUUAUUUUUUUUGCGGCACGUUAUCCAUUUUCUGAAUUAUAAAGGAAAUAUACUAUGAUAUAAAGCCACUAUGGUAUAACAUGCUAAUUUUAUUAAUCGUUACGUAAAUAUCAAGUUUGAGAUCGAUUACUGUUGGAUUGUCUUGGGGAAUAUGACUUUGCUCACGCACAACGUUUUGUGUUUAAAAUUUUUUUCUAACUCUAAUUUGGUUGGUUAUUUUAUUAAGACGGUGAAUAUGACUAUAUGAUCUCUGAGUUGAUUAAUGUCUUUUCAAACGAUAUAUUACUACUUUAAGUCCGUUAACAUGACGAUCUCAGACUUGAUUGAUUUUAUUUUUCAUAAACAAUAUUUAUAUGAUAGUUGAGAAAUUGAAAUCUUCUGAUUAAGACGUAUAUAGAUGGUAAAAAAUGGAUAAUCAUAAAUGGGUAAAUAAUUAAUUUUCACUAUUUGAUUAGAUCCGUUUCCUUUAAAUGAAUUUUCUAAUUUGCUAGGAAUUCCUUUUUUGUAGCUUUCUUUUUCUUUUAUGUUAACGCAACGACUUGUCGUUUGUGCUUUUUUGUCAACUAUAUAUGAAUGUUACGUGAACCCAAUGUGUAUGCCACUUUAGUGCAUACCUGAAAUUUUGGUUUGAAUCUGGAAAUAGGAAAUAUGAGUAGGACACUGAUAUAUCCAAUUUAAUACACUACUGAUUUUUUUUAUUCUUUUUGCAAUUUUUAUUUAUUUAUUCCCUUGAUUUUUUAUUCAUCAAUCCAAUUUAAUGACAAAAAAUAAAUAUAUAUUAUAUAUUUCCGGGUUAGGUGUGUUUUGCAAUUGGACACGUACGCUGAAAUGUUAAGAAACAUGUUCUUAUCACAUACCUGACUUGAGAAGGCUCGGGUAAAACCCUUAAGUUUUUGGGUAAAUUAUAUAAAAUUACCUCAAUUAUGAGUCGAACCACAAUCUCAUACCUCAUAUUUUAAAAAUUACAAUGUCAUACCUCAUCUUACGAAUUUGUUACAAUGUCAUACCUUCGUCAAUUUUUCUAUCAAAUUUUCUGUUAAAUGUUGAUGUGGCCUGAGAUGAGAUCCACCCCCUAACCCAACCGGAUUAAAAAAUUAAUUAAAUAUUAAAAAAAUUAAAAAUACAAUUAUUUAACGUUAAUUAUAUUAACACCUUACAAAUUGUUGAAUAAACCCCACAAACUUAAUACACCCCACAUUUGCUUUUUCACUUAAAAAUUAUCUUAAUACACCCCACUUACUUUCCCAUAAUACCCCCACACCCCACAUUCUCAAUAUACAUCUUAUAUUUUGUACAUACACCCCACAUUUCUCAAAUCUUAUAACACUCAUUUUUAAUUUUCAGGGAUUGAAUCUAACCAUAUGUACAUUAAAAGAUGAAUAUGAAUAUAGAAGUUUAAAUAAUACAGCAAAACGCAAGAUUAAAUAAUUAUCAAUGUCAUCGAAAUCACUAAAACAAUGAAAACUAUGAAGUCUUACCUCAUGCGAAGCUCCUGAAACAUCGAUUUCGUGUUCCAUUCGUCAAAAACAAUUUUUCUUAAUCAACAUGUUUGAUAGUUGAGAAGAUAAAUAAUACGCUAAAAGUGAUUUGGGGUGUAUUUAUAAAUCUUUGUUUUUUUUUAAACCUAAUAAGGUCAAAAUUGUCAUUACAUAGUAGAGUAAAUAAGUCAUUUAAUAUUAAAUUUUAAUGUGGGGUGCAUUCAACAUUUUAUGGGGUGUUAAUAUAAAAACCCUUAUUUAAAUAUUUUUAUUUAAAAAUGUGGGACCCGCCCCUACAAACCCAACAUCCUCACCUUCUUCCCUAGCUCACAUGUCUCCCCCCCCCCCCACCCCAACCUUCCUCCUUUCACCCCAAAACCAAAACCCAUCUCUACCUCCCUCCCAAUGACGCUCCUCUUCUCCAGCAACCUUAGAAUCAGGUGUGGGUCCACUGCGACGCCCUUUGGGCUCUCGACAUGGGCCUUUUUAUAAGCAUCCCAUUUCCCCUCAGCUCACCCGUCUCCCCCCAACCUUCCUCCCUUCACCCCAAAAACAGAACCCAUCUCCGCCUCCCUCCCAAUGACGUUCCUCUUCUCCAGCAACCUUAUAACCAGGUGUUGCUCCACCGUGACACCCUCUGGGCUCUUGAAAUGGGCCUUUUUACAGGCAUCUCAAUUCCCAAAGUUCUCUACUUUCAAAAGGAUGGCUUUGAAAUUGGUUUUUGAUUUUGAAAAAAGAAUUUGGUUUAUGAUUAAAUGGGGUUUACAAUUGAUUGUUAUAAAAUGCAUUUCAAUUUGGGGAAUUUCAAGUGUGGAUUUUUGCCCAUAUUUUCUUGAACUGAAUUAGUUUUUCGAGUUCGAGAUCCCAACCCAAAUUAUGCCUCUUCUUGCAGUCGUCAGAUUUUCUAUUCUUCCUCUGCCCGCCCUCGCCUUCCACAAGCCUAGAGAAGGUCCUUCAAAUACCCCGCAAACGGUUUCAGAUUGCAGGUGAGGGUUUUUGGGGUGGUGCUCAAGAAAGUCCUUGACGGAAUUGACAUCGGCAACAAAUUGGUAUGCGGUUGCUUGCUUGAGAAGAAUGAGGUGCCCUUUUUUUAUUUUAAAUUGGGCUAGUUAAUGAUGACUCGGGGGAGGAGAUGGGGGAGGAAAGGGCAGCAGUGAGGGAGUGGGUUCUGGUUUUGAUGGUGAAGGUAGGAAGGUUGGGGAGGGGAGACGAGUGGGCUGGGGAAGAAGGUGUGGGAGAUGGGUUUGCAAGGGAAAUAUUUAAAUUAUUUUAUUUUUUUAGUUUUUUUAAUAUUUAAUUAAUUUUUUAAUCCAGUUGGGUUAGGAAGUGGGUCCCGCCUCAAGUUACGUCAGCAUUUAACAGAGAAAUUGAUAGAAAAACUGACGGAGUUAUGACAUUGCAACAAAUUCGAAAGAUGAGAUAUGCCAUUACAAUUUUUAAAACAUGAGGUAUGAAAUUGUGAUUCAACCCAUAAUUAAGAUAGUUUUGUAAUUUACCCUAAGGUUUUUUUUAUGCAAAAUCAUAUCAUGUUAUGGUCCUCCUUUUAUGGCUUGACUUAGAUUGGACUAUUUUAGAUUUAGUCUAGCAUCAAUGCCGAUGUUUAGUGAAUUUGUAUACGCUAAGACAAGAUUUUCCAAAUUGGGCAACGGUCCAAUAUAUUAUUAUGUCUUACCUGUCUCAAUUAUAGUUGCGUGACUCAAUAUGAUUGGAAUUAAACACAACUCCAAUCAUAUCAAGAGCUUGUUUCGAAGUGUUUUUCAAAUAGUUAAAAUACCUCUGGUGAAAAUAUUUUUGAAACCAAACUUUAACAAAAAUGCAAGUGAAUCUUGAAAAAACAGCUAAAAUACUUUUGAAAUUCAAAAACAUCUCUAAAAUCGUAUUUAGUCAUUUUCAAAAGUAUUUCCAAAAAAUUGCGAGUUUUCUUUGCCAAUAUAACAACUGAUUUUGCCAUGAUAUGAAAAAGAAGUAGAGAGAGAAAAGAACACCAACGGCUAAAAGCCUAAAACACCAUGUUUUGGGUCGGUGUGGUGUCGAAAGUUUGGUUUUGCUGCCAACCUAGGAACUUGGGUUGGGCCCUUAGUUUGUGCCCAAGUUUUAUAGGCCUUAUUAUUGAGUUUACUUGCAAACAUGACCGAUGUAGCUCUCCGUCCAACUCAUUUCAAAGUGGUUCGACGUGAGGUGGCAUGUUGAAUAAAGUAAAUUUUUUUACAUCGGCAAUCUUACAAAAACAAACCACAACUUAUAUUAAAUGGUUUCACUUUUAAUUAUAUCGAGGUCUUUUGCAUAGAAACCCUAAACUUAUUGAUUGCACAGAUGCUUAAUUAGGGACACUAUCGAAGGAUCUUGCUCUUUGCAUGGAGAAUGCAUCCACUUGAACAAAAGGAGGGGACGGAUAAGCAUCGUUUACUUGUUCAAUAUCCUUUCGGAGUAAUGACUUGAAGUGGACAUGCAUCAUCUUCAUCUACUUGUACCAAAACAAGCGAAAAACCCACAGAAAAUCACUCUCACUACUUGAUGGACGGACAAAGAGAGUGAGAGAGAGCCAACUCGGUUUCCUUCCUUUUUUAAGAUUUGCACAACCUCAUAAAUAUAUGUAUAUUAUGAAGUUGAAUUUUCUGGUUGUUGCUUCUUGAUAACCCUACAUUGCCACUUGCACUAUGUGGGGGUCAAUCGAUCUUCAGUUUAAGUGAGUAUGAAAUGAGUUGUAAAUAGCAUAUAUGUGAGUAUGAAAUGAGUUGUAAACUCAAUCGAUGUUUAAGUUUGAAUUCUCGUAAGUAGGGGUGGACAGAAAAACUGCUCAACCAAACCAAGCACCAAACCAAACCGAAAAUAUUAAUUAAUGUUAAAAAAUUCAUAAUUUUAUGAACAUUUAAUUUGUUGAAAGCAGUCCAGUUGAACCUUCCUGACCUAGGUUUAAAUGACAUGAUUAUGACUCAUAAGCAUAAUACUAUUUCAGUUUACCAAAGAAAUUCCACACAAGACGCAUUAACACAACUCAAAACCCACAUGAAUAUACAAUGUGAUGAGACAUGAUUAACACAACUUUUCUCCUUUUUCAAUAAGUAGUAUGAAUUAUUCUACUAUUCUAUUAUGAUUUUCAUAUCAGCCUGCAUAUUGAUCAACACAUACUUAACACAAGCACACAACACAAUAUAAAUAAGUAACACGAACACAACUCGAUGGUCACCCCCACAUAUGAUUUCGGAUUUCGGUUACUUAGGGUUUAGGACACAAGCCAAAUUUCAUUUUCACGCUACAGUGUGUGUACGUGAAAGAGGGAGGGAAGGGAAGCAGAGGUUGAUAUGUGGGUAAAUGUCCAGCUUUAAGAGCAAUAAAACCUGGACAGAAUCUUCUAAUGUGUAACCCAAACACCAUCAAACAAACCCAAAACGUGCAACUUAUAUUCUUCAAAACACACCAAAGGCAUAUAUGGUCCCCCACAUUGCCUUAUUUGCCAAGCAAAAAAGCACAUCAAAGAUCAAACCCCUCCUCGUCUCUAUGAAGUUGCAUUGGCUUGGGACCCUCAUAUUUUCUUUCUUCCUUUCUAUCAUAUAUAUAUCAUUACUUUAUGAUGGGUAGGUUCAUGACAUGUUUUACUUAAUCAAUGCUCUUGAUUAUCUACUUAAUGAAUGAUUUUUUGGUGUGACAAUUACAAAUUCGCUUAAGGUGUAACAUACAAGUUUAUCUAUUGAUUUUACAUUCUAGGUUCAUGACAUGAUCUCAAUGAUCAGCAAUGUGGUCUAAGAAAGUGAAGAAUUUGGAAUACGAUGAGUUUUGUUUCGAUCUUCUCUAUUACAAAGAAAGUAUAAAUUUUGAUUAUAUUUCACAACAAAGGUUUUUACUAGCAAAUCGAGACUACUACUGUAGGAAAACGUCUAGAUCAAGAUAAAUUUUGCUAUACAACGACAACGUUUAAGUUCAAGAAAGUGAAGAAUUUUACGAUGAGUAGAUGAGCCUCGUGAACCAAAAGCAGGCGUAGAAGCUGAUUGUUCCGGUGACAAUAAAGAAUGCAUAAGAAGCAAUGAGCAUGUACCCGAAGUAUAAGAGGACCGAGACCAGCUUUGUGAUUUCGAGCCUUGUGAAGAAGUAGAAUGUGGCGUAGAGGAAGAGGUACAGAGCCGAUGAGCCGGAUGUGAGGUAUGAUCUCCACCACCACAAGUAAUCCUCGCUGCACAACUGGAAGUAGCAGAGGACGAUGGUGAUCUCAGCACAUGUGAUGAUGAGGAUGAUGAAGACCAAGAAGAGGAAACCAAAGAUGUAGUAGAACUGGUUCAGCCAAAUCGAAGUGAGGAUGAAGAAUAGUUCGUUGAAAACUGCUCCGAAUGGGAGGAUCCCUCCGAUUAGAAUUGAGAAAACUGGGUUCUUGUACCAGGUCUGUUCUGGGAUCUCUCUUGGGACUUUGUUUGUCUUUACUGGAUCCUCAAGUGCUGGCUUCCUGAACCCAACAUAGCCUCCCACAAAUACGAGUGGGACUGAGAUUCCCAACCAUAAAUAGACCAGGGUCAACAUUGUGCCAAAUGGCACAGCUCCGGAUGAGUUCUGGCCCCAAAUCAGAGUGUUCAAGGCAAUGAAAAUGGCAGAAACAGUUGCUGGGAACAUGACUGCUGUCCCGAAUGCGAUUUUCAUCCAUUCUGUACCCUGAAACGUCUUGUACAACCGAACUGAGGCAUAACCGGCGAAAAGUCCCAUGAAGACAAAGAGCAAGAGCAUUGUGGUCAUAAGACCACCCCGGUUAGAUGGGGAGAGGAAGCCAAGGACAGCAAAUAUCAUUGUCACCAGUAUCAUUCCAAACAAUUGAACACCAGUUCCAACAUAUACACAAAGCAAUUCAGAGUUAUUUGGAGCCCUGAAGACAUCCCCGUGGACAAGUUUCCAUCCUGUUUCUUCUUGCGCUUCUUCCUGGGUCUCGAGUUCAUUAUACUUGGAGAUAUCACGGUAGAGUGUUCUUAGCAUAAUCAUCGCUACUAUACACGAAAGGAAGAGGACAUUAACUAAUGAUUUGACAAUUGAAAACCAAUGGAUUUGGUCGUCACUCAUCCGUAGAUAAGCAUCCCAUCUAGAAGCCCACUUCACAUCACUCUCCUAAACAGGUAGACAUGAAAAGAAGUAUCCUAUGAGAUGACUAGUUCCUCACAAAUGACAAAGUAUGUUCAACACCAUUACAUCAGAAAUAUUAGGGCAAAAGACAUACGAUAGUAGUUCAUGACAAAAAUAAAUGAUGCUAUAAUAAGCAAACAGUAGAUAGUAAAUUAUGAGUUAUAAUUCUCCUAUGAGAAAAUACCAAGUAAAAUUUUAAAUUAAUGAGCUCACCUGGAAUUCAACAUCAUAGGUAAAUACGAUUUCUUGCUUUUCGGCAACCUCUUGAGGAGAGUUAGAAUUCAAAACAGAAUGUUUCGAAUGGGGGUCACAGGUAGUUAAACGAGUCUUUGGAUCAUUCCAUUUCCCUUCAUAUUCAUGUUUAACACUGGACAUUCAACAGUCAAACAAACCGUAUGACCAACUGAUAAUUUAGAAACAAGAUUCAGCAAGAAGGAAUCAUGCAGGAGAAAAGGAACGCCCUGAAAAAAACUGACCUAAAUGGUUUAACCUCAAAUCCCACAAUUCUUGACGUUCCAGUUUGCAGAUCUUUAUGGUACUUCACAGUAAAUGCCAGAUGGUUGUGGAUGAAGUAUUUCUCUUCUUUGCUCUGAGCACAAUAACAUAGUGUAAGAACGACAAAAACAUAAGCAUCUCCAAAUAAGAAAGGUAUUUGGUGCCAACAAAUAAUGGACAUACCCCAGCAUAAUGACCUUUGAGCCCAACAUGGAACCCAAGCCGAUAAACAGUACGAGCUUUUUGAUAUAGCCUUUGAAUGGGAACAACUAGAGGUAGAUUAUCAAGUAUCCUGUCAUAGAAAAAAAAGUCUUAAUAAGAUAUGCGACUUUGUUUUAGUUCCUCAAAUAUACUAGGAUAAAUCAUUUAAAGUGUCAGAAAAAAUUAAAUACAUGUUCACUCGAUACUCGUCAUCUAUUUUCUCCUUAAACUCCUUUACAAUUUUGGCAUUAGGUGUUAUCCGGCAGACAAUGUUGCACAUCUGAGGCUCCCGCAUUCUAAACUGCACAAGUCCGAUUGUAAGUUUACGAACAUAGGAGAAACAAGUAGGCUUAGAGUUGUACAAGUGCAGUAACACUAACCACAUAGGGGGAGUUCUUGAUCCGGUCACCAUGGAGCACUUCCCCAAGAUUCUCUAUACUGUCGAUGAUUCUCUCAGGCUGGCAGUAAGGGAGAGAGUAAUAGGAGUAAGGAAGCUGAGUCUUUGUAGAAGUCACCGUGUUCACUUUAACCUUCAAACGAUCUCCCUGCAAUAAUUCAAAUUCCGCGAGGCAAAGCACUUUGCUUCUCAGUCAAGUGAAGUAAAACAAUGAUGGAAUUUCAAAUCUAAUUUACAAGAAGUAAUUCAAAUUCCACAGACAGCAUUUGUAAUCCAGUGAAACUAAAUGACAAUCUUCUUAGAGUACUUGCUUAGGAGUUAGGGCAUAUACAGAUCGAUGUCGGACCAACCAAGAACAGAUGCGCCGGGAAUUACUCUACGCAUCAAAGUAUUAAUAAAAAACAGCCUGAGCAAAUCAAAGAAAUAUGCAGAGCAAAAGAACAUAUAUCAAAACCUACAAAUCUCAAGAUUUGAACUAUGACAGAGGUCAACUAAACCUAAUUCGACGAUCAUUUCAAUAUCAAAGUAGCAGCCAAUCGAAUUUACGAUAACCUACUCUCCAAUCCUUCUAUCUUCCUCCAUUUUCUCGGCAACCAAACAGACCAAACCUAACACUAGGUCACAGUCACAGAUUCGAAAAGGAACACACGGAUCACUCAUUUAAUACACAAACACAUACAAUUUCGACAAAAAAUCGAAAUUAAAUGAAAAUACAGAUUAGAUUUGUCGGCGAUUGAGAGCUGACCUUCAAGAAGUCCUGCGGAGUGACGCCGGGGAGGUAGAAGGAGUGGGCGCCAUGGACUAAGAGUAAGAAGAUCGCAGAGAUCGCCAGGACUGCCUGGGAUUUACGAGCUGCCAUGGCCUCCGGCUGAGAGAGAGAAGAGGAGGAGUGUGUAUGUCUGGAGAGGAGCCGAAGGAGGAGUUAGUUUGUUGGUUGGUGUUUAACAGUUGGAUUCAUAUAUACUAAAGCCGAAGGAGGAGUUAGUUUCAACCUGACCCAACCACAAUGGCGAUUCUCAUUGGAGGAGUUAGUUUCAACGAAGUAUUAAAUAUCCAUGAUAUCGGAAAUAUUGUUAAUCCAAAAAUAUAGAAAUUUCGAUAGAAAUAUCGGGAUAUUAUCGAUAUCGAUAAAAAUUGAAUAAAAACCACGGAAAUUGUAAGAAAAACUUGGAAAUUUUUAUUGAAACUUUGCAGGAUGUUUAUUUAGUCAAUUAUCUAUUAGUUUAUCAUAAAAAAUUGUAAGGAAAUGCAUUGCAUGAUAGAUAUAACUAAUUUAAGUUGAUUAUAUAGCGAGCUGGCAAGGUCUAAUACCUUGCAUGGUAAGAUACAUGAGUGACUUAGCAAGGUCUAAAAUAUCGAUGAUAUCGGUAGUUCAAAAACAUGUAAAUUUCGAUGAAAAUAUCGAAAUAUUAUGAAUAUUUUAGACCAUGAUUUCAACCUGCACCACAUAGACGAUGAAAAGAAAUCAACGUUCAACCCUUUCACACCCAGAUUAUAUAGUAAUUAGUGACCAAGUCAUCAAGGCAAAACUCCAUAUCAAUCGUACGUCUAUAAUUGCAUAUUAAUUUCCAGCUCCACGUUGAUUCGAUAAAGAUCCUCUGUCUGGUUUGAUGAAUCCCAAUUAUAAUAUGUCCUAGUCGUUUCAGCUGACUUUGGUUAGAAUGAAUAAUAUAUUUUAAUUUCUUUACAAUUACUUGGAAAUUUCCAAUUAUAUCUUACGUUAAUAGAAAGAUAAUUAUAAAUAGGAAAUUAAUUCUUUAAUUUUCUUUUGUCACCAAAGAAAAUUAAGAAAUGCGAAUUAGAAAUGCUAGUUUCAACAACUUCAUUUAAAAAUAUUCCGAAUAAUAUACAAUUAAUAUCACGCUAGAGUCUAGGACAAAUAAACCUACUUUGAUUAAUGUCACGUCAAGAACGGUCAAGAUGUGACAGGGGCACUUUUGUAAAUAUGAUAUAAAAACUGUGAAGCAAUCAUCUUCAACAUUGCAUCUUUCCGGGCACAUAUGAACAUAAAAAAUAAAUUGACGUUCUACACGAAAUCUUUCACACCCAGAUUAUAUAGUAAUUAGUGACUAAGUUAAGUGAAGGCAAAACUUCAAAUCAAUCGUACGUGUAGUAUUGCAUAUUAAUUUCCAACUCCACGUCGAUUCGAUAGAGACCCUCUGUCUGGUUUGAUGAAUUCCAAUUAAAAUAUUUCCUAGUUGUUUCAAUUGACUUUGCUUACCAAUCAGAAUAAAUAACAUAUUUUAAUUUCUUUACAAUUACUUUGAAGUUUCCAAUUAUUUCUUAGGUUAAUAGAAAGAUAAUUAGAAAUAGGAAAUUAAUUCUUUAAUUUUCUUUUGUCACCCAAGUAAAUUAAGAAAUGCGAAUUAGAAAUGCUAGUUUCAACUAUACAAUUAAUGUCUCGUUAGAGUCAAGGACAAAUAAACCUACUUUGAUUAAUGUCACGUCAACAAAACAGUCAAGACACGGCAGGGGCACUUUUGUAAAUAUGAUAGAUAUUUUGGGGCAGUUUUAUAAAUAAAAAACUUCUAUUGUGAGUUUUAAUUGUUAUGUUUGUGUUUUAAUCAUUAUGUAUGAUGAACACUAGUAUUUUGUUAUAUUGUGAGUUUGAAGUAUGUUUUUUAAUAUAUGUGAUAUUUAUUAGAUUUUAAUCGUCGUGUUCUAGCCGUGUCUUUAUUUUUUGAGUUUUGUCGUGUCGCUGAGUUCAUAGGAUUGUAUUUGACCUGUUGAAAAAUGGCCAUGAACGAUCUAGUAUCAUUAACAGCAGCUUUAGGGCGUGUUUGUUUGACCUUCUUAGGGGGGACUGGACUGGACUACACUAAUUGGUAUUGUAGUCUGAUGUUUGGUAGGGGCAAGGAUUAGGUUUAAUGGGAUUAGAUCCGACUCGCACGGAUUAAACCCCUCGCUAGGAGUUCUUAGCGAACCACCCCAAAAACGUCCGGAUUCGUAAGACCUCCUCCCUCACGUCGUCCUUCUCAUCCGAUUGCGCUAUUGCGAGAAAGAACCUCGGUCAUCCUAGGAGAGAGUGUCGUCGACGUCCUCCUCCCUCACGUCGUCCUCCUCAUCCUCAUCUCUGCGUCCUGCUCGCCGUCAACUGCAUCCUGGUCGCCCUCAUCUGCAUCCUGCUCCUCAUCUGUUCCUCUCGUCGUCCACUCCCUCGUCUUCACGUAACAGAUCUGCUCGCCCUCAUCUGCCUCCAGUUGUCUGGUAAGCUUCGAUUGUUCGAUUUUUUUCGUCGAUUUGAGUCGAUUUAGGUGGAUUUUUUUCAUCGAUUUGGGCGGAUUUGUUUUGGGUUUGAGCUUUAUUUGAUUCUGCAGUUGAACAAAUUUUAGGGUUUUGAUAUUUAGGUGAAAUUGAGAUUAGAAAUUGGGGUUUUCAUAAAGCUUGGAAUUUGGGGUUUGAAAUUGAGAUUAGAAAUUUGGAAUUUGGAGUUUGAAAUUUGGAAUUUGGGGUUUUCAUAAAGCAGUGUGUGUGUAUGUAAGUAUGCAGUAGAAAUUUGGAAUUUGGGGUUUGGAAUUUGGGGUUUUCAUAAAGCUUGGAAUUUGGGGUUUGAAAUUGAGAUUAGAAAUUUGGAAUUUGGGGUUUCAAAUUUGGAAUUUGGGGUUUUCAUAAAGCAGUGUGUGUGUGUAUGCAGUGUGUGUGCGUGUGUAUGUAUGUAUGCAGUGUGUGUGUGUGUGUGUAUGCGGUGUGUGUGUGUGUGUGUAUGUAUGCAGGGUGUGUGUGUAUGUAUGCAGGGUGUGUGUGAGUGUAUGUCAGUGUGUGAGAGUGUGUAUGUCCGUGUGAGUGCAGUGUGUGCAUCUGACCAGUGUGUGUGUGUGUGUAUGUAUGCCGUGUGUGUGUGUGUAUGUAUGCAGUGUGUGUGUGUGUGUGUGUGUGUGUAUGUAUGCAGUGUGUGUGUGUGUAUGUAUGCAGUGUGUGUGUGUGUGUAUGUAUGUAUGUAUGUGUGUGUGUGUGUGUGUGUGUAUGUAUGUAUGUAUGUAGGGUGUGUGUGAGUGUAUGUCCGUGUGUGAGAGUGUGUAUGUUCGUGUGAGUAUGUGUGUGAGUGUGUAUGCAGUGUGUGUGUGUAUGCAGUGUGUGCAUCUGACCAGUAUGUGUGCAGUGUGUGCAUCUGACCAGUGUGUGUGUGUGUAUGUAUGUCGUGUGUGUGUGUGUGUGUAUGUAUGCAAUGUGUGUGUGUGUGUUUAUGUAUGCAGUGUGUGUGUGUAUGUAUGUAUGCAGUGUGUGUGUGUGUAUGUAUGUAUGCAGUGUGUGUGUGUGCGGGUGUAUGUAUGCAGGGUGUGUGUGAGUGUAUGUCCGUGUGUGAGAGUGUGUAUGUCCGUGUGAGUAUGUGUGUGAGUGUGUAUGCAGUGUGUGAGUGUGUAUGCAGUGUGUGUGUGUAUGCAGUGUGUGUGUGUGUGUGUGUAGUAUGUGUAUGUGUGUGUGUGUAUGUAUGUAUGUAUGCAGGGUGUGUGUGAGUGUGUGUAUGUCCGUGUGUGAGAGUGUGUAUGUCCGUGUGAGUAUGUGUGUGAGUGUGUAUGUAGUGUGUGAGUGUGUAUGCAGUGUGUGUGUGUAUGCAGUGUGUGCAUCUGACCAGUAUGUGUGCAGUGUGUGCAUCUGACCAGUGUGUGUGUGUGUAUGUAUGUCGUGUAUGUGUGUCUGUAUGCAGUGUGUGUGUGUAUGUAUGCAGUGUGUGUGUGUGUGUAUGUAUGUAUGCAGUGUGUGUGUGUGUGUAUGUAUGUAUGUAUGCAGUGUGUGUGUAUGUAUGUAUGUAUGCAGGGUGUGUGUGAGUGUAUGUCCGUGUGUGAGAGUGUGUAUGUCCGUGUGAGUAUGUGUGUGAGUGUGUAUGCAGUGUGUGUGUGUGUAUAUGUGUGUGUGUAUGCAGUGUGUGUGUGUGUGAGUGUAUGUCCGUGUGUGAGUGUGAGUAUGUCCGUGUGUGUGUGUUAGUGUGAGUGUGAGUGUGAGUAUGUAUGUGUAUUUUGCACAUUUGUCCAUGAGUGUGUGUGUGUGUACUUGGUUUAUAACCAUGAUAUUACAAUGUGAAUGUUUUGUAUUGUGUGGGGUUGAUGCUGAAUUACAAUUUUUUGUGGUUGUUGGUUGCAGAGAAGAGGAGCAUAAACGGAAGGCUAAGGCUAAGGCUACUGCAUUACAGGUGUCCUUUAAUUUCCCUCUUCACAUGCAAUGCCUAGCAAUGAUAGCAAUCCUCAUACUAGUGUUCUUAGACACAUGUUUAUAGAUGUAUAAGAGUAGAACAUUUUGAAUAUGAUGCCUCGGGUUAAUGAUAACUUUUUUUUUUCAACGCCACCUGUAUAUUUGUUGCUCGGGUUAAUGAUAACUUUUUUUUUUUCAACGCCACCUGUAUAUUUGUUGCCUCGGGUUAAUGAUAACUUUUUUCUUUUCAACGCCACCUGUAUAUUUGUUGCCUCGGGUUAAUGAUAACUUUUUUUUUUCCAACACCACCCGUAUAUUUGAUGCCUCGGAUUGUGACUUCGCUAAUUACUUUGAUCUAGUUCAUUUCGUAUCAUAAUCACUUCAUUUCCAUCACCCUUAAUAACAGUAAAUAUUACAUAUAUAAUGUCCUUAAUUUGUUUUUUGUUUUUUUUUUGUUUGGAUAGAUAUGGAUCGAAUGAAGCUUUUAUUGAUCUUAUUGUUAGAGAUGUCUUAUUUGGAGACAAUUUGCAUUUGUACGAUUCUUGUGUUGAUGAUGCUACGUGGCAAACAGAGACAUGUUGAACGACCCACAUUGACUAACCGUUCACUUAUUAGACGAGAGAUUAGUUUGUGUUAUCUGAAUGGUAUAAUAGGGAAUACUGAUAUUGAAUGUGUCAACGAAUUGAGAAUGGAUAGAAGGACUUUUGGCAUAUUAUGUGACUUACUUCGUCAAGAUGGGAGGGUAAAAACUGAUGGUUUGGUGUCUGUAGAGGAGCAGGUGUGUAUGACUUUACAAAUAUUAGCACAUCAUACUAAGAAUCGUAGUGUUGGCGGUAGAUUUUAUAGGUCGGGAGAGACUAUAAGUAGGUAUUUCAAUAUCGUAUUGCAAGGAAUUUUGCGAUUACAAGGUAUCCUACUAAAAGUCCCUCAGCCUGUGCCUAUUGAUUCUACAGAUCCUAGGUGGCGAUGUUUUAAGGUAUGAUGAGAAUUUUUUUUCAUUUUCCCUAAGCUUUAACUCUUCAUUCCCUUUGUAUAAAUUAACAAAAACUUUUUUUUUUUUUUUUUUUUUAAGAAUUGCUUGGGAGCAUUGGAUGGAACACACAUUGAUGUGCAUGUACCUGAAAUUGACAAACCAAGAUACCGAACAAGAAAGGGUCGAGUCGCAACUAAUGUGUUAGGUGUGUGUUCAGGAGAUAUGUAGUUCAUAUAUGUGUUUCCGGGGUGGGAGGGUUCCGCAUCAGACUCUAGAGUGCUACAUGAUGCAAUUACUAGGCCUAAUGGUUUUAAGGUACCAGCGGGUAAGACUAUUACUUAGUCUCAACUUUGUAAGUUAGGUCUAGUUCUGUUUGUCAACUACAAAACACUAAUAAGGUCUGUUUUUUUUUUUCAUUAGGUUAUUAUUACCUUGUAGAUGGUGGUUAUACAAAUGGUGAAGGAUUCCUUGCACCCUAUAGAGGAAUACCUUAUCAUUUAUCUGAAUGGGAGGGACGAACACCUUCUAAUAAGGAAGAAUAUUUUAACAUGAAGCAUUCUAAGGCAAGGAAUGUAAUUGAAUGCUGUUUUGGCUUGCUAAAAGGAAGGUGGUCGAUACUAAGGAGUCCAUCUUUCUAUCCGAUAAGGACACAAGGUCGAAUAAUUACCGCUUGUUGUCUACUACACAAUCUUAUUAGGCAAGAGAUGUCUGUAGAUCCAAUGGAGAAUUUGCCAAUAAUAGAAGAUGGACAAAAUACAAAAGAAGGUGAAUAUGUUGGUAGUGUUCAAACAUCUGACCAGUGGACUGCAAAGAGGAAUGACAUGGCUCAGGAAAUGUAUAACGAGUGGAGAGCAAUUAGGAACUAGCAACCGAACUAGCUAUAUGUGUUAAUGAUAACAUUUUAUUUUAGUAUUCCUUUUUAUCAUGCAUUUGUUAGAUAUUAGCACAAUGAUUGGAUGGUAUGCAAAUUAAUUGGAUAUUAUGCAAGUUGAUUGGAUAUUAUGCAAGUUGAUUGGAUAUUAUGCAAAUUGAUUAUUUGUAUGGUAUUUUCCUUCAUUAAAAUAUUUUUUGUUUAGGUAUGGAUAACGAAAAUAUUUUGAAUGCUACUCAAGAGCCAAAAGGAAGAAGGCGUAAAUGGGAAGCAUUUGAGGAAGAAGUAUUACUAGGAGUUCUUGAGGAUUUUGUUGCUCGGAAGCAACGGUGUGACACCGGUGCUUUCAAACAAGGUACUUUGGUUGAAAUAGCAAAAGCUGUCAAUGUUUUAUGUCCUCAUUCAAAUAUAAAGGCAAAUCCACAUAUUGAGUUCAAGUUGAAGAAAUGGAAAAAAACAUAUAGUAUGGUCGUUGACAUGAUAAACACAAGUGGAUUUGCAUGGAAUGAUGUCAAAAAGUGCGUUGAAGUUGAUAGUGAUGACUCAUGGCAAACUUAUGUGCAGGUUCAUAUCCUAUUUUAUUUAUACAUUAGUUAUAUUAUUGCUGCUAUAUUUGUCACGCAUGCUAAAUUUUAGUUUUGCUAUGUUGAUAUAAUCUUAGAGAAAUAAAGAAGCCGAUGGAUGGAGAAUCAAACCUUUUCCACUGUUUGAUAGAUUUGCAUAUAUAUUUGGAAAAGAUCGGGUUACGGGUAAUGUAGCCGAAACCCCUGCUCAAAUGGUGGAGGAACAAAGUCAUGAUCAUGUUGGUGAAAGUGAUAUUGGAGGUGAAAAUUUUGUUUCUUCAAUGAACCAACAAAGCCAACAAAGCACCCCAUCUGAAAAUAGCCAAAGAAAGAUGAAAAGAGCUGUGGGAAGUUCAAGUGAUGGAACCGAGGCAAUUAUCAGUGGACUGAAAGAUUUUUAUGUUGAAAGUGGGAAGAGGAUGCAAAUGGUAACUGAAGCUUUAGUUCAAGGUACUGCAGAUCAUACUGACAUAGCUAAUGAACUUGAAGCAAUGGGUCUCUCUCCUAUGGAUCAAAUUGAUGCAUUGUCUCUUAUUUUGGAUAAACCAAAAAAUGUGGGAGUGUUCAGGGCAAUCAAACCGGAACUUAAGAAAGUGUUCGUCCAAAGGUUUUUAAGCGAUAACGCAAGCGGAUGAGGAUUUUGGCUAAUGUUAACAUGGAUGUAUUUUAUUAAUGUUAACAUGGAUGUAUUUUAUUAAUCAUAAAAUCUUAUGUUAUGGCUUAUAACUUAGUUUUGCACUAGUAUUUUGACUUAUGUUAACUAGCCAUUUUGUAAAUUAUGGAGAUCUAUUUUGGCUAAUGUUAACUAAUGUUAACUAGGAUUUUCUAAAUUAUGGAGAUCUUCUUAUGUACUUGUAUUUGUUGAAGUUGCAUGUAUUGGGCACUAUUAUUUUUCUUCUGUUGGGUGAUAGAGUUUAAAUCAAGCUACAUUUGCAAAUUAAACCCAAUUCUAUUAGCAGGUAAUAGAAACAAAACAAUUGUCAAUUUUUUUUAAGAUUCAUAAUAUACAUGGCAAAAAUAUGCUCCAAUUAACCCAUAUCAUGAGAUUUGUAGCAUUACUCUAUUACACAAUGGCAAAAAUUUGUAGUCCUAGUCUAAGCAAACACAAAUCUGGUGAACAGUACUGUUUUUCUUAUCCUGCUUCUUAGUCCGACAUUACACCAAACGCUUCACUAAGUUAGUCCAGCUUAGUCCAGUCUAAGCCAGUCCAGUUUAGUCCCGGCAGCUAGUCUAGUCCGAGACAGUCCGGCGCAAUAAACGCACCCUUAAGGAAAUACUAGGAAUUACUUUCCAAUGCCUGCAAGUUCUCAUGGCAUCGGUGAAUAUGAUCAAAAUUUCACUUGAAAUUUCAGUAGGGGGAAGUUGAUGGUCAAGAUCAUGCUUUUUGCUUCGAUGGAAUUCCUAAAACCAUAGAUUCCGAUUAAGCAACAUCUCUAAGGCAUUGUCUUAGAAUUAAAUUGUCUAAAAAACAACUAAAUUAUGUAGAUUAAAGUCAAACACCAAACCUCAUGAAAAACUUUUGGUGUCCUGAUGACAUUUGAAGGUCCUGCAAAAAGCUUCUGCAACUAAGAUAAGCAAAUCCUGCCUGUGGCUUGGAAAUUUGAUAUCGAAUUUCGUAUUGUAAGAAUAGUUACAUAUACUGGUGAAUUAGAAUAUCAAUCGAAUAUUGAUUAGUACGCAAUCUAUCGAACAACACUUGAAAAUGAAAACGGCUAUUCUGGCUCAAGGGCAAGAAUAUAAGGUUAGUAUCAAUCAAUAAAUUGGAACAACUUCAUAAGUAUAUUUUAGAUAUAUAAAUUUAAAGGAUCUAAUUCGAUAAAAUUUAAAAGUUAAUUUUGUUGGAAUCGAUAAUAACCAUGAUAAUAACACAGUUUUGCUUUCUUUCCAAGUCCAACAACAAUUCAUAAUUUCGUAUGUAUAGCUGCAAUAGAUCUAUGUCUGGAUGAUUAAGAAUUGAAGGGAAUUCGCGAGAAGUGGUAAAGUCAUUUUCAAUCAAGGAUAGUAGUUGUAUAGUAUUGUCCCAAUCCCAGCAAAUAAAGCUUUUCUAGUCCAAGAUCGGACAAUAAUAACACACUAGUCAAGCAGGUUAUGAUUUAACUUCAAUAAGUAAACUUCUGAUGAUACAAUUAUAUCAGUGAAAAAAUUAUGUAUCUUGCUUUCUCGAUCAUUAUCCGAAUUAAAUCACAUGAUCUACCAUUUAUGUGGUCUCCGUUAAUUUUAUUGAGUUUCAUUUUUACGAAUCUACUUUUUAAGCGAGCUACUUAACGCGUUACUAAACUUAAACUUGAAGUUUUUCUUCGAUUAAAAAAAAUCCAAUGCUAUUAGAAGUGCAGAUUUCAGUUGGAGGAGGAAAAGUAGGUAUUGACUGGGUAAAAGUUGUCAGACUCCAUAAAGCACGUUUCAUGUUCCAACUUUUAAGUUUUUGGGAUCAAAACAAAAGUCACUGAAACAUCCCAUGUGAAACUUAUACUCUAGUAGCAAGCAAAACUAGUACUCUAGUAGCAAGCAAAAGUAGCUCAUCCCCACAAUCCAAACUAUUUCUUCUUUUUUAUUUCAUUUCAGAUUUGCAGACUUAUUUCUUAAGAAACAUCAUUUAAUUUCUAUACUAGACCCAAAAGCAAUACGUGUAAAAAGAAGAACAAAACUUCCUUCCAGUAUUGUUCGUUUUAAUGAAAAAGGAAAAUUUUAUUAUAAAAAGUCACUUAUGCCACUAGUACUACGGUCUAGUGGUAUUUAUCUUCACUGAUAAGUGAGAGGUCUUAGGUUCAAAUCUCGUCAAAGGCGAAUUUGCACCAAUUUAUUGCUAGCCCAUUAUGAGGUUAAGUCCAACCCCUCCCCUUAGUGUAGAUAAUAUCGAUUAUUCAAAAAAAAAAAAGUCACUUAUGACACUAUUUAUAUGCAACACCUUUUUGUCAUUUUGAUUAAAACUCAAAGUUUUCAAACCAUUUUCAUUAGUUUUCUUAUAAAAAAAUCCCACAGCAACUAACACUAUCGCUGCUAGUAGAUAGUUUUGGAAGUGUGGUGCUAUCACUCACACCUCUUUUUAUUUUGUAUACAAUGCUCUCAAUUUUUUACCGUUAAAUUAAAUGCAUUGAAAAUAAUCAAAUGAUAAAAAUUAGCAAAAAGUGUAUGAAAAGUUAAAUAAGAUGGAUGGAUAGUACCACGCUUUUAAAAAAAAAAAUCAUAUCUUAACUUGUUUUACUUGAGCCCCAAAAAGAAGCCUGGCGUUUGAAUUCUGUUUCCCUCAAGACUUAAUCGUAUCUUAACUAAUCACUCCUUAAUAAAUAAAAAAAUUAAAAAAAAAAGAGAAGGAAUAUUUUAGAUGCGAUUCCUAAUCUUUAAUAUUAUUUGAUUAAAACCUUAAUGGUUUUUAAAGUUUGAUCAAAGUCCCUUGACUUUGUACACCUCAUUAUGUUACUAUUAAUAUUUAUAUUUUUAUAGUUUUGACAUUAAUUGUUUGAUAUUUUAUGAGAUUUAUAAUCCUAUAAAUUUAAAGUCUCUCAUUAUAAUACUAUUAGAAACUGUUACAAUAAAUAAAUUCAAACAUUUUGAUUGAAUAAAUGGAUAUAAACUAUGUAACAAUAAGAAAUAAUAAAUGACAAAAGAAUGUAUCUAUAGUGUUAAAAAAAUUGAUAUAUUUUACAAAAAAAUUAUACAUUUCACAUAUAACAAAGUGGUACAUUAAUACAGAAGAAUUAAUACAGAAGAAUGAGUACAUUAUGACCAUGGCUGAGUUGGUAGGCGGAGCUUUUCUCUCUUCUUUCCUCUCUGUUUUGUUCGACCGGAUAGCUUCCCGUCCCGUCCUCGAUUUCAUCUCUGGGAAGAAAAACGAGCUGCUCAUGAGAGAGUUGAAGCUCAAGUUGCUCACCGCUGACAAGCUGGUUGACGAUGCCGAGGAGAAGCAGAUGACAAGCCCGACCGUGAGGAAGUGGCUCGACGAUCUCAAAGAAGCUAUCUACUGUGUAGGAGAGUUGCUGGACGAGAUCAAAGCUGAAGCUCUUCGACGCCAGCUGGAAGGUGAGGAUGACCAUUCUCCUGCAGCUAGCAGCAGCACAAGCGGGAUCUCGAGAUCAGAGUCCAACCCUUCUUCUCCGUCCGAUGAAUUUCAGAUUCCAACCGACUUCCCGAUCCCUCCCAUGCCCACCAUGGGAAGCACUCCUAUCUUAGGGCCAGUCGGAUCAUUCAAACGUAAUGCUUCAAGGAUCCUUUUUUUCUCCUUUUUCCUUCCGAAGACGGCAGACUCAUCGAUCCGCGAAGUAGUUUGACGAGUUCUUUCUUGUGGCCUAUGUUGAACUCCUUCUUUCAGACCAUGAACGUCUCUUUCAUUGAGAAUGAGGUUUAACACCUCAGAAUGUUUGAUAUCUUCGGUUCAAGAGAGUUGUGAAAUUCAUCGGACGGAGAGGAAGGGUUGGACUCUGAUGAAUUUCACAACUCUCUUGAACCGAAGAUAUCAAACAUUCUGGGGGUAUUAAACCUCAUUCCCAAUGAAAGAGAUGUUCAUGGUCUGAAAGAAGGAGUUCAACAUAGGCCACAAGAAAGAACUCGUCAAACUACUUCUCGGGUCGAUGAGUCUGCCGUCUUCGGAAGGGAAAAUGACCAAAAAAAGGAGCCUUGAAGCAUUACGUUUGAAUGAUCCGACUGGUCCUAAGAUAGGAGUGCUUCCCAUCGUGGGCAUGGGAGGGAUCGGGAAGUCCACCCUUGCCCAACUUGUGUACAAAGAUGUCAAGGGUGACUUUGAUGUCCAAGCAUGGGUUUUUGUCGGAGUAGAAAUUGAUAUUCUUCAAAUAGCACAAACGAUACAUGGGAAGAUCACAAAAAACCCUUGCACGAUCACAGAUCUGGAUCUGCUUUCUGAAGAAUUGGAGGAGGUUUUGACAGGAAAAAAGUUCCUCUUCGUUCUUGAUGAUGUCUGGAGUGAGGAUUAUCUUCUCUGGAAUAACUUGAUGACUCACUUCAAUAGCUGCGGAGGGAAUAUCCGAGGACGAUUCUUGGUUGUUAUUUGCAAAGCAUGCCUUCACGGAAGACAGUGUUAUUACUGCCCAUCCGUAUCUUGAAGUCAUUGGAAGGAAAAUUGUUAACAAGUGUCAAGGCCUUCCUUUAGCUAUAAAAUCAUUAGGGGGCCUGUUACACUCUGUUUUGAAUCGAAGGGAAUGGGAAAAGAUAUGGAAGAGCGACUUAUGGGAGUUGCCAAAUUAUGAGGUUUUGCCAGCUCUACGGUUAAGUUACCAAUAUCUACCUCCGCAUCUCAAACGUUGUUUUGCUUAUUGUGCAAUAUUUCCUAAAGGUUACAACUUUCAACGUUCAACGUUAAUUUCAUGGUGGAUGGCUGAAGACCUCUUACACCCCACGGGAAGGAGGCAAUGGAAGAUGUUGGAAGUGAUCACUUUGAUAUUCUAGUAUCAGGGUCUUUCUUUCAACAUUCAUUAGACGAGUUGGGUAUGUUAUGUUUCACCAUGAUUUAGCAAAGUUUGUAGCUGGAGAAUUUUGUUUAAGAUUGGAGGAAAAUCAGCCGCCCAACAAAAAUUUAUGCAAAACUCGUCACUUUGCAUUCAUGGAAUUUGGAGGUCAUGACAUUCAGAAAUUUGAGGCGCUGGAUGAGGCUAAGCACUUGCACACCUUUCUACAACUUGAAGGAGGCUACAAAGACUGCAAUAAGUUGGUAUUGAACUACACACUUGUUGAUUUAUUACCAAAUCUACCAUGUUUAAGAGUGAUCAAGUUAUCAUGUUGUGAUAUCGUUGAGUUGCCUAGCUCAAUUGGCAACUUAAAACACUUAAGGCAUUUGGACGUGUCGUACACUAAAAUAAGAGAAUUACCUGCGACGGUGUGCACCUUGUACAAUUUACACACCUUGUUAUUGUAUUUUUGUCUUGAGCUGAUUCAACUACCAACCAAUUUGGGAAGGCUAAUCAACUUGCGCCAUCUCAACAUCCGAGAAACAGAGAUCAAAGAGAUGCCUGCAGGGAUGUGUAAAUUGAAAAAUCUCCAAACAUUAAGCGAUUUUGUGUUGGACAAACAAACAGCUCAAAGGAUUGGAGAGUUAAAAGAGCUUCAGCAUUUGCGCAGAAGCCUUAAAAUCUCAGGAGUUGGUAACGUUAAGGGGAAUGCUUUGGAGGCAGAUAUCAUGAGCAACAAGGAGAAUCUGAACCUACUUUUCUUGAUAUGGGGAAGAGCUUAUGAUGCUAGUAAUCAUGAUCCAGAAAAUGACAGAGAAGUGCUCAACAAGCUCCAACCUUAAACAACUUAUAAUUAGGUCUUACGGGGGUUUAACAUUUCCAGGUUGGUUAGGAGAUCCGUAUUUCUCUAAACUAUCUCGUAUUGCACUUGGUGAUUGCAAGCAUUGCUGCUUAUUGCCACCACUUGGGCAACUACCCUCCCUCAAAGAGCUUCAUGUUCUAGGGAUGAAUAACGUGGUUGAGAUUGGUAGCGAGUUUUACGGUAACGAUACUUGUGGGAGUGCUCCAUUUAGAUCUCUACAAGAAUUGCACUUGGAAGAUAUGUUGGAGUGGGAAAAGUGGUCCUAUUACGAUGGAAGCAGAGGCAACACCACAAUAAUGUUUCCUAAUCUUCGUGAGCUUGAAUUGAGAAAUUGUCCCAAGCUGACUGAGAUAUUACCGUUGGAGAAGCUGCAAAGUCUUGAAAGUGUAAAAUUGAAUGGUCUGGAGUCCUUUAGUGGUUCACUUGCACAUGUGGAAUCUAAAUGCCCUAAAUUCCUUUCCCUCGUUCACUUGGAAAUGGUCGACUGCCCAAAUUUUGUAUGUUUUCCAGAUGGAGGGAUGGAUGCGCCCAAAUUGGAGGAGCUGCUUAUCUAUCGAUGCAAGAAAUUGAGGUCGUUGCCAGAACAAAUGCAUACCUUUCUACCGUCUCUUCAGAAAUUGAUGGUAAUUGGCUGUCCAGAAGUGGAAUCAUUUCCUCAAGGAGGGCUGGCGUCAAAUAUACAAGACCUUUUUUUUAGUGUUGUAGAAAACUCGCUGCAAACCGCUCACUGUGGGGUUUAACAAGACUCAACUCUCUUAGAAUGUUGGAAAUCAGUUUCAGUGAAGAAGGUGGAGAAGAAAUGGGAUGUUCGUUUCCGGAAGAGGGUUUGCUGCCCGCCACUCUCACUAGUCUCUCCAUCCGCUUUCAUCCAAAUCUUACAACCAUCCAAGGCAAGGUUUUGAGACAACUCACCUCUCUUGAAUACCUCAGAAUAGAAGGAUGCCCUGAGCUCCAGGGCUUUACAGAAGUAGCGCCCAAAUCUCUGAAAAGGUUGGCUAUUUUGGAGUGCCAUAAUAUCGGGUGCUUGCCAGGAGAAUGGCUUCCCACAUCUCUUUCUCAUCUGCUUAUCAAAGAGUGUCCGCUGUUAAAAGAACGAUUCCGAAGAGAGACAGGGGAAGAUUGGCCCAAGAUUUCUCACAUCCCCCGUAUAAAUAUAGAAUAGAUGUUCCUGAAAUUGGUACUUGCCGAAUUCUCUCUCAAGUGUGUGCGUGCCUAUAUGUAAUAUAUGUACGAAACACUUUAGUUGGGUACUUUUUCUGAUGUUUUUUUUUUCCUUGCGCGUUUGAUUUGUGCUUCUAGUCCAGGCUCCAGCAGCAUAUGCUCUUGUUGUUUCGUGUUGAAUUUGUCACAAACUCUUCCUAAUGCAACAACAAAAAUGGAGCUGGUAUAGCCUUUGCUGUUUUGCGGUAAAGUAGUACUACGUACGUAUUCGCAAGAUGAUUACUAGGCUAAAACAAGAGCAAAUUUGGAUAAAAAAUGCUAUUUCUACCAUCUAGUUGUACUAUCAUUCGUGCCGUCUCUCUAAUAGAGAAGAGACUCGCAUGUGUUGGUGGACCCUCCUCUAUUAGAUUUCAUGAUUCACUAACGAAAGCUCGAAGCACCCUAUUUUCAUCCUCAGCUCGUCAAAGCAACCUAUUUUCAUCCUCAGCUCGUCACACCUUUUUCAAGGGGUUUGCUUCUGAAACUCCUAAGCAGGUUCAUAGAGGCGUAACAUGUGCCCAUCAAUACAUCGUAUGGCAGCAACCUGUUACACAAUAGUCUUAUCGUAAUCUUUGCAACCAGCAUGGUGAUGAUAUACAAAUAAAUUAUCGAAAUUGUUUCGUUUAAAAAUUCGGUGAACACGUAGCCAUGGACUUCACAUUGCCAUGGACUCACUCGUUUGACACGGUGAUCAAAGCCAAGGCUACUGUUGAUAGAGUGCCUAAUUGCAGGAACAAGGUUACCUGUGCUGACAUUUUGGCCUUGGCCACAAGGGAUGUUGUGAAAUCCCUUUCCCAGCAUUCAGGUCCAUCGGAAUGUGUCCGUGCUAGACUAAAUGCAAGGACUGUCCUUGUGUAAAUUUUGAGCGAACGAAUGAUAUGGCACGAAAGUCCAUGUCCAAGACUCCAAACGAUCGUGAUUUGGAGUUAAAGCAGAUUCCCUUAUUAGUAAAACCCAUGAACAAGUCAGAUUAUUUUACAGACAUGAGAAAACCCAAGAGAAAAAGUUGCCACCUUUUCACACAACCAAAAAUUUCAGGGGAAAAUAAAACACAUACUAAUAUUGGAUCCUUCCUUAUUUCUUGUUUUUAGUCUCCUACUCUGUACAGUAAUAAUGCAAAAGCAUAUGCAACAGCCUUCACAUUGAAAAGCCGAUAUGUGAGUAAAAACAACCAAACCGUAAACUUCAUGUUAUUUGGCUACAAAUGAGGAGAAUCCUCUGGCCAAAUUUAACAUCAAAAGUAAACUAGUUGCAACCUAAUCUAAAGACACAAGGUUAUUGCUAAGCGCUUCAUCAUCAUCGUCAUUAAUUUUUGCUACUCGCUCGUCACUUGAAGGUACAAACUUAAGUCUCUCUGUGUGUUUCCCUUUUGAAAAGCUCAUCAAACUGUAUAAUGUUGUUGAAUUGUAUCGAUGUCAAGUCCUUUCAGCUUCACAACUGACUCAACAUGACCCUUCAGCGUAUGCAACUCCCGAAGCCUGCAACCAAAACGAAAAGCUCUUUUAGAACUCAAUUCUCACGUGGAACAAGUCCAACCAGCAAAGCAAAACAAUGCAAGAUGAAGCAUUUUCCAGGAAACAAGAAACAGAACCGGCAGACAUCAUUACGGAGACAAGCCUGAUUCUAAAUCUAUGUAUGAGUGCAAACGGUCCUUACCUUGCAACCUCAGCCCUCCGCUUGGCUUGUUCUGCAAUCUCAGAAAGCUCCCUGUAGCUGUUCUUCUCAUAGAAAAGGUUGUUCAUUUCAGGUGGCUGAAGGCCGUGAAGGGUCCUCUGUGCUGCAGCCCACUGUGCUUCUCUCUCCUCUUUCCCAUAAUCUUUCUUUGUAGUGAAGGCAGUCUGGUGGGAAGACACAAUAAGGUAAAUUGUGGCAAGAAACAUGAAUCUAACUUAUAUUGUUGGGUAGCGCGGAAUGCAACAUACCUUGUUCUCCAAAAGAUUAUUCCACGCCUUUCCGCUUUGAAUGUAUCGGAUUGCGAAUUUAAGAAAGUCACGAGGGACAUAUGUCACUAUACUGUAAAGCCACAUGACACCAGCCCACCCCUAGCCAGCUCCCUUUAUCCGUGCAAAACCCCAGUUUGCAUAGACUGCCAUUUUGCGGAAUGAGUUAUUUAAAAAAAAAAAAAAAAAAAAAAAAAAAGGAAAAUUCUUUUGUCAUACACAUACGAGAGCAACCAAGUAAAAUAUCACACAGGUUUUUAAGCUUGCUAACGGAGUAAAAUUCUUACUUUCAAAAUGUACAAAUUUCUAGAUUAAUUGUCUUAACAUUAUUGGAAAUUACUACAACUUUUAAAACCUUAAGCAUCCAGUUGAGCAAUUAGGUAAAAUUAUAAAGGUAAUCAGUUUGCUUACCAAUUGAGCAAUCAUGAAAGCUCCAAAUAAGAGAAGUCCAGGGCGUUCAACAAAAGACCAGCUACGAGACCUUGUGAUGAAAAUAAGGGCUUGGCUCACAAUACUCACUUGUAAGUACAACACCGCCAUCGCUCAGGCCUAUCCCUCAAAGAUCUCACAUGAAACUUGUCCUGCAUUAUGAAAAUAAUUAAAUAAAAUCAGAAGAAUGAACUUAUUUGCCCAAAUAACUGUGACCUAAAUAGCUUAUAUAUUAAUGGAAAACAAAGAACUGUAUAUUCCCACCGAGAAGAAGUCGGUAUCAUUCAUAAGCCAGAAGAAGACUACUGUCAUUAGUGCCAAGUAACCUCCAAGGACAAUGCCAGUAGCAAAGAUCUCCCUCAAUUUCCAGCUGUCUGGUUGUGGAGAUGGCUUCACUCGAUCCUUUGAUAUUGUCAUGAUAGUUCCUAGCAGAAUCGUAAAAAAAACAAAGUCAGACUCAUUUCUCAUUGAGGAUUGUCCGAUGGUUUCCAAUGCAGGAUCUUAUCAUUGAGGAUUGUCCGAUAGUUUCAGAGCGCUUUGAACAAGGCAGUGGAGACGAGUGGCCCAAGAUUUCUCACAUCCCAAACAUCGUACAUAAGAAGUGAUUUGUAGCAGGGCAAGGAACUGAUGAGUGAGAAGCAAGCCAAGUCUACCAUUGUCAUCUCCCGGUAAUAUCCGAGCUUUAUAUUAUUUAGAAGUUACGUUGCAUCAAUUGUGGCUAUCAUCAUAUUUGUUUUGCUUGGUUUCUUCUUCUAUAUAUAUAUAUAUAUAUAGGGAUAGGAUCAAGGGACAAAUAUUUUUACACUAUUUUUAAGCCUUUUGAUGACAUGACAUCCAAUGAUUCUUAUUUAUUCAUUAAAUGACAUAAAUGCUUAUGUGGAUUUUAACUAAUAUUAAAGAUUAAAAAAAAACUGAAAAAAAAAAAUCUGGAAAAUUAAAACUAAAAUUAAAAAAAAGGAAGAAACCUUAACUGAAAUCUAAACUUAAUAUUAGAAUUUAGGGUUUCGGUUUCGCAUUCACACAUUCUAUCUUAUUCCCUAGCUUGAUUUUUUUUAGGAUUAAGUACCUAAAAUUCUCCAACUUUUUAGUGUAAUUCUAAAUUGGUCUCAACCUUUUUAAACAUUCCAAGCAAGUACUCAACUUAUUGAAAAUGUCACAUUCGUUAAGCCUCAUUGAAAUUUUUGUUAGAUUAACUAAGGCAUACUUUGUCUCUAACAUCAAUAAGAAUAUCAUGAAAGCAUGGCCUCCACUAAUUAAUGGUCACUACCACCCCUUUUAGGCCAUAACCUCCAAACCCUGCAUACAACCACAAACUUCACCCUACAACUCAAGCUACCAAAAUCGAGAAGAAGGUCAUGGAGGUUGCUGAAAUGGUAUGAACUGUCAUGAUGCAGCUGCCACCAUCUUCACCGCCCACAAAGAAGAACUCGAAACUUUACUAGCUAGAGAUCGACAAAUGAGGAAUUCACAUGAGCAUAAACAAGCUCAUUGAAACCCUAUAUGAAUUUUUAACCCUCUUCCUUGUUAGAAGAUUUCCCAGUCUUCAUUUUUUUCAUUUAAUUCGUGAAUUUGUUUAUUUUUUUUAUUUUUUUUCAUUUUCAUGUCUUUUUUUUUAUGAUUUUUUUUGUUUGUUAUUAUUUUAGUGUCCAAGUAAGCAAAUAAGUGGAACCUAUUAUUGCCACAUGUACAUUUAACGGAAAAGUUAACUGUGACUUAAUGGAUGCGACAUUGUCAAUAGGUUGAGUACUUGUUUGGAGUGUUUAAAAAGGUUUAUACCAAUUUGGAAUGGUACUUAAUCCUUUUAUUCUAAUGUAUUCAAUUUAAUGACAAAAUAUAAAUGUAUAUUAUAUAUUAUCAUGUUAAUCGUGCUUCGCAAUUUGACACUUAUGCUGAUGUGUUAAAGAAAUAUGUUCUUAUCACAAACCUGACUCGAGAAGGCACAACUAAAACCCUUAAGUUUUUCAAGCAAAAUCAUAUCUUGUUAUCGUCCUCAUUUGGUGGCUUGACUUAGAUUGAACUAUUUUAGAUUUAAUCUAGUAUCAACACUUAUGUUUAGUGAACUUGUAUACGCUAAGACAAGAUUUUUCAAAUUGGACAAUGAUCCAAUAUAUUAUUAUGUCUUACAAGUCUCAUCUGUAAUUGUGUGACUCAAAAGGAUUGGUUUAGGGUUGGCGGAGUUCUUGAAGGCCCAAUUGCCUGUUGUUGGUGGUUCUGCCCGUCCCCAGAUUGUCGGGUGCCCCCGCCCCCAGGACACAUCAAGGUGAACGUAGACGGUUCUUGGAAUGAGAUUUCUAAUCGUAGUGGUGUAGGCAUCAUUGCGAGGAAUUUCCAUGGUGAUUUUGUUGCUGCGCGGGUUGCUCGUUUCGAGAGUGUGUUUCUCCCCGGCUCAUAUUGAGGCUUUGGCGGUGAGGGAAGGUCUGUCGUUGUGUGUGUUCCUUGUUGAAAGGGGCUAUCAAAAUUUCAUUUUAGAAAGUGAUACCCUCCAUAUCGUGACGGCUUUAUGUAAGCCUUCGGUUAAUAGGUUCUUCAUCGGUCCUGCUAUCGAGGAUGCUAAAGCUAUUUUUGUCUUCGAUCGCUGGAGGUUCUUCUACCCAUGUUCGACGACAGGCUAAUGAAAUGGCCUACCAACUCACUAAGCUUGCCCUUCAUUGUGAGGUUCUCCGGUCUUAGUUCGAGGAACCUCUAGAUGUGUUAACUGAUCAUUUUGUGUUGGAUUGUAAUGGUUGAUAGUUAUUGAGAGGGGCUGUUUCUUGCUCCCCUCCCUCAGAUGUAAUGGUUGUUAUCAGGCUUCUUUUGAUCUAAUGAAAUGCUCUAUCGUUGCUCUUCAUAAAAAAUAAAAACAACUCUAAUUAUAUAAAGAGCUUGUUUUGAAUUGUUUUUAAAAUGAUUAAAAACGUUUCUAGUAAAAAUGAUUUCGAACCAAUCUUUAAUAAAAAUGAAGUGAAUACUAAAAAAACACUUUAAGUAUUUUCUAAAAAAAAACACCAAUUAUGUGUCAGCACUUGAAGUGCUUCAAAAACCUAAAAAUAUUUUUUCUAAAAACGUUUCAAUAAUUUUAAAAGUACUUUCAAAAGAGUCUGAAGUCUUUACCAUAAAGCAAAUGAUUUUGCCAUGACUCAAGAAGAAAAAGUAGAGAUAGAAAAGAACACCGACGGCUACAGGCUACAACACUAUGUUUUCGGUAGGUGAUGUGUCGAAAGUUUGGACCCGACUUCUCUGCCCUCUCACUUCCCAUGCACUCUCAUCCCCUCCUAUUAUGUGUGGUCACGGUUAAGCCACGUCAACAUUUUAUAUUGAUUUUUUUUAUAGAGAUAAUAAGACAAAAAUCAAUAGUAAUAUAAAAUGUUGACGUGGUUUAACCGUGACCACACAAAUAGAAGGGGAUGAAAGUGUAUGGGAAGUGGGAGGGUAGAGAAGCCAGGUCCCGAAAGUUUUGUUUUGCUGCCAACCUAGGAACUAGGGUUAGACCCUUGAUUUAGAGGUGGACAAACCGCCCUUGAUAUAGAGUGGAAUAUUCUCGACGCAAACACAGUGAAUAAUGUCUUCCUCUUUAACCCAAUAGGUCUUUAAUUUUAACUUUCAUUCCAUUAGUUUAGAUGAAUUAGUUUACGUUAUCCAAUCACUUGUAAAAGAAAAAAUAUUGGUCAAGUUAGGAUUAUGGUGCGCGAAUACGAGAGUGGAGGGUUCUGCAAUUCGUAAAAACUCAAAAUUUCUCAAUUUGAGAGCGGAAUGGAUUCAAAAAUUAAAAAAGUAUAAAACUAAUUAAAAAAUGUCCACUUCUUAUCUGUUAACAUGAGCAUUAUUAGCAACCCAACCCAAUUGAGUCUCCUAGUAUUUUUUGUUGAAAGGUACAAUUUAUUCAAUCAAUUAUAAUUGAUAAGUUUAUAUCCUCAGCAAGAAUGUUGAAAAGAAAAUCGGGACCUAUACAAUCUCAUAUAAAGGUUCCCCCUACAAAUUGAAUGAAAGUUGCCAUGUAUGGUCUCCUAGUUGACUGCCGUAUAAUUACCAUGUAUAGUCUCUUGUAUAUUACAUGUAUUUGCCUUCAUAACGGAUUAGAAUAAUACACAAAAAUUCUCAAAAUUUUGACAUGGUAACAGAGUGGGUUUUCAAAUCUGUUGUCAAAUUAUUGGGUUCACUUAUAAACAUUACCAAUGUAGCUCCACGUCUGACCCACUCCAAAGUGGUCCUACGUGAGGGGCGUGUUGAAUAAAGUAAAAGGUUUCACAUCGGCUAUCUUACCAAAAAAAUCACAACUUAUAUCAAAUGUUUCCACUUCUAAUUGUAUUGAGACCUUUUGCAUAGAAACAUCACACCUAUUGGUUGCACAGGUGAUUAAGUAAAGAUAGUAUCGAUGCUACUAGUAGUGUACCGUGACCAUCUCUCUGAAACUUUGACAUUAUCGUACCAUGCUUCAUAGGAUUGGUUUUUCAAUGGUUUAUAAGCUUCACAAUUGUCAAUUUGUUCUCUAAUCCCCUCCUCCCCGAGUCAAGGAGGUUCUUGUUCUUUGAAUGGAGAAGGCAUCCGCUUGAACAAAAGGAGAGGAAGGAUAAGCAUUGUUUGCAUGUCCAAUAUCCUUUCGGAGUAAUGACUUGAAGUGGACAUGCAUCAUCUUCAUCUACUUGUACCAAAACAAGCAAAAAAAACCCACAGAAAAUCACUCUCACAACACAACUCGAUGGAUGGACAAAGAAAGAGAGAGUGAGAGAGACCCAACUUGGUUUCCUUCCUUUUUAUGAUUUUCACCACCUUUGUGGUAACCCUACAUAGCUACUUGCAAUGUGGGGCUCGAUAUUGGAGUUUGAAAUAAGUUGUAAAUAGCAUAUAUAUGAGUAUGAAAUAAGUUGUAAACUCGGUCGAUAUCUAAGUUUGAAUUCUCAUAAGAAGGGGUGGGCAGAAAAACCGUUCAACCAAACCAACCACCAAACCAAACGGUAAAUAUCAAUUAAUGAUAAAAAGUACAUAUUUUAUGAACAUUUAAUUUGUUGGAAGCGUUCCAAUUGAACCUUCCCGACUUACGUUUAAAUCACAUGAUUAUGACUCAUAAGCGUAAUACCAUUUCAAUUUACCUAAGAAAUUCCGCACAAAACAAAUUAAAACGACUCAAAACCCACAUGAGCAUAUGAUACGACAAGACAUGAUUAACACAACUUUUCUCCUUUUUCAACGAGUACUAUGAAGUAUUCUAUAUUGCAAGUCAAUUUGUAAAUUCUGACUUUUGUUAAAUUCCAAGAUUAUUUUCCUCAUUCAAAUAUAACAUUGUAGUAAAUAUGAUUUCCAGUCCUUUCUAUUUCAUUGGUCCACCUUUCAUAGAAACCCAAAUAACUCUGAUAUUGACACAGAUAUGCUUUCUUUCUCUUCUUUCUGGAUUUUGGAGCUGAUUAUCUGGGAUUCUUGUUCGACUGCUAUUCUGAAGAGAAUCUCAACGCUGUAACUUAUAAUCAAUAAUGCGCGAAAAAAUUUUCUAUUCCAAAAGGGGACAAAUAUGAAAAUCACUGAAGGGACAAUAAGAACUCAUUCCCUCAAUCAAAUAUGCAAUCUCUUAUUUCCACUCUUGAGUCUCCACUUGGGAACAAGUGAUUCAGCGUGAAUGUUCUACGUUCUACUUUUACAUUGGUUUACGUGGGUUGAUCAUACCGAGCGAAAAGUCCCCGAUGUAAACAAAGAAUGCUAGAGCAGUUAAGGUGAUCAUUAAGACCGCCGUAGAGGAAGACGUAGGUUAGAAAUGUGAGGUAUGAGGUCUCCACCACCACACAAGUAAUCCUCGCUGCACAACUGGAAGUAGCAGAGGACGAUGGGAUUCGGCGCAUGUGAUGAUGAGGAUGAUGAAGACCAAGAAGAGGAAUCUUAACAUGUAGUAGAACUGGUUCAGCCAUAUCGAAGGGAGGAUGAAGUAUAGUUCGACGAAAACUGCUCCGAAUGGGAGGAUCCCUCCGAUUAGAAUUGAGAAAACUGGGUUCAUGUACCAGGCCUGUUCUGGGAUCUGUCUUGGGACUUUGUUUGUCUUUACUGGAUCCUCAAGUGCUGGCUUCCUGAACCCAACAUAGCCUCCCACAAAUACGAGUGGGACUGAGAUUCCGAACCAAAAAAAGACCAGGGUCAACAUUGUGCCAAUUGUCACAGCUCCAGAUGAGUUCUGGCCCCAAAUCACAGUGUACAAGACAAUGACAAUGGCAGAGAUAAUUGCUGGGAACAUGACUGCAGUCCUGAAUGCGAUUUUCAUCCAUUCUGUACCCUGAAACGUCUUGUACAAGCGAACUGAGGCAUAACCGGCGAAAAGUCCCAUGAAGACAAAAGGAAAGAGCAUUGUGGUCAUUAAGAUGGGGAGAGGAAGCCUAGGACAGCAAAUAUCAUUGUCACCAGUAUCAUUCCAAACAAUUGAACACCAGUUCCAACAUACACACAGAGCAAUUCAGAAUUAUUUGGAGCCCUGAAGACAUCCCCGUGGAUAAGUUUCCAUCCUGGUUCUUCUUGCGCUUCUUCCUGGGUCUCAAGUUCAUUAUACUUGGAGAUAUCACGGUAGAGUGUUCUUAGCAUAAUCAUCGCUACCAUACCCGAAAGGAAGAAGACAACCAUCCAUGAGUUGACAAUUGAAAACCAACGGAUUUGGUUACUCAUCCGUAGAUAAGCAUCCCAUCUAGAAGCCGACUUCACAUCACUCUCCUAAACAGGUAGACAUGAAAAGAAGUAUCUUAUCACAAAUGACAAAGUAUGUUCAACACCAUUACAUCAGAAAUAUUAGGGCAAUAGACAUACGAUAGUAGUUCAUGACACAAAUAAAUGAUGCUGUAAUAAGUAUAGAGUAGACAGUAAAUUAUGAGUUAUAAUUCUCCUACGAGAAAAUACCAAGUAAAAUUUUAAAUUACGGAGCUUACCUGGAAUUCAACAUCAUAGGUAAAUACGAUUUCUUGCUGCUCGGCAACCUCUUGAGGAGAGUUAGAAUUAACAACAGUAUGUUUCGAAUGGGGGUUACAGUUAGUAAAACGAGUCCUAUCAUUCCAUUUCCCUUCAUACUCAUGUUUAACACUGUGGACAUUCAACAGUCAAACAAACCAUAUUACCAACUGAUAAUUUAGAAAGAAGAUUCAGCAAGAAGGAAACAUGCAGGAGAAAAGGAACGCCCUGAAAAAUACUGACCUGACCUCAAAUCCACAAUUCUUACCUGUCCAGUUCGCGAUCUUUAUGGUACUUUACAGUAAAUGCCAGAUGGUUGUGGAUAAAGUAUUCCUCUUCUUUGCUCUGAGCACAAUAACAUACUGUAAGAACGAGAAAAACAUAACCAUCCCUGCAUAAGAAAGGUAUUUGGUGCCAACAAAUAAUGGACAUACCCCAGCAUAAUGGCCUUUGAACCCAAUGUGGAAUCCAAGCUGAUAAACAGUACGGUUUUUUUUUUGCUGAGGUACAGUACUUUUUUUAGAGGUACCUUUUAUCAACCUGUCAUAGAAAAAGGAAGUAUAGAAUGAAAGGAAUGGAACUUUCGUUAUUUUAACCUUAAGAACAUUUUUAACCCUGAAGAGUCAUUGCUAUUAUUCACUACACCUUCAUUAAAACUAAAGUUUUUAAGGACUUUUCGUUAGUUUUGCUUAGAAAAAAAAAGGUCUUAAUAAGAGAUGCCCGGCUGACAAUUUAAUCAUACUGGAUCAUUUAGCGAUAUACUCAAACUCCCUUCACAACUCCCGAAUCCGAGCUGACAAUUUUGCACAUACUGACAAACUGCACAAGUCCGACUGUAAGUUUAUGAACAUAGGAGAAACAAGUAGGCUUAGGGUUCUUAGAGUUGUACAAAUGCAAUAACACUAACCACAUAGGGGGAGCUCUCGAUCCUUUCACCACGGAGCACUUCCCCAAGAUUCUCUAUACUGUCGACGAUUCUCUCAGAUUGGCAGUAAGGGAGAGAGUAAUAUGAGUAAGGAAGCUGAGUCUUUAAAUCUGAGUUUUGUAACCUUCAGUCUUGCAGGCCACAAGCACUUUGCUUCUCAGUCAAGUGAAGUAAAACAACGACGGAAUUUCAAAUCUAAUUUACAAGAAGUAAUUCAAAUUCCACAGACAGCAUUUGUAAUCCAGUGAAACUAAAUGACGAUCUUCUUAGAGUACUUGCUUAGGAGUUAGGGCAUAUACGGAUCGAUGUCGGACCAACCAAGAACUGAUGCGCCGCGAAUUACACUCACUAUAUUUGAACAAAGGUCAACUAACCCUAAUUCGCCGAUCAUUUCAAUAGCAAAGUAGCAACCAAUCGAAUUCACGAUAACCUACUCUCCAAUCCUUCUAUUUUCCUCCAUUUUCUCGGCAACCAAACAGACGAAACCUAACACUAGGUCACAAACAGUUGAGAAGCUACACAGGAGCAAGGAGGGGCGCCCGCCCCUCCUCUCGCCGGAAAUCGUCGGUUCUAGUUGUGCUGCACGGCGCUGCGCUGCUGGUGCUGCUGCACGUUAUAAUUUUUUUUAGAAGAUGCCCAGGCCAAACGACGUGGUUUGGGCUUGGGAUUUAAAAAAAGUGCUAAACAAAACGGCGCGGUUUGUGGAGGGUGCCAUCCCAAUCAGAGAUUCAUAUGUGGGAUUGGACGGAUUAGGAUUCUUUAUGUGGGGUCUUUAGAAUCAAUCAAUUAUGUCCGUUCAUCUACAUCGUGCGAUCUGAAACUAUUUUAAAACAAAUAUUUAAAAUUAAAUAUAAAUAGUAACUAAUGAAAACUGACCGCAUGAUAUACAAUGAGCGGACACAAUUGAUUAAUCCUCCAGAUCUCCACAAAGAUGAUUUGGAGAGGAUCCUCAUCCGGAUUGGAAGGACCGCCCGAUGAAAAUUUUACACGGAAAGAAUUUCAUAUUUUUUUUUGCAUAAACAACUUGUAUUAUGAAUUUAUGGAUGAACGUAAUCAAUUUUUUCUUCUAGUCUCAUCUAAAAAGAAAACUAUAAUAAAAUAAAUAUAAAAAAUUAACGUAAAAUGUUGUACAAUACUACAAUAUUGUUGCAGUUCUAUUUAGAAUAGGAAUGUGAUUGUGUAAAUCCUAGAGAAUAUGGGAAAGUAUUAUAUAUUCCUAUUAGGAUUAGAUUACCUAUUAAAUGUUGUAAUCAUAAAGAGAAAGGUAUUUACCCUUCCAAUUACUAUAAAUAAAGGCACAAUGGGGUGAAUCAAACACACCUCACAAUUAAAUCAAUCUCUCUUCUCUCUAAAGUGGCCGGCCUCUCUCUCUCUCUCCCUAAACCUUAGAUCGCUCAAUCAAAUAGGCCUACAACACGUUAUCAGCACGCUCUUGCCAGAAGCUGAGGAACUGAAGCAUCGUAGGAGGAGGCUAUCAUCCACCACAUUCAAAGGCUAAUUCGUUUUCUGCUGCUCAGGUACGCUUAAAAUAAAGGAAGAUAUUUGAAACGACCCAUGAAGCAUGAAAACAUUCUCCAUGAUGCAUGAACCCCUUAUGUUUAUAUUUCCCUUCCAAUAUAUAUAUAUAUAUAUAUAUAUUGUAUAUGUUCAUAUAUUUGUUUCAUGCAUCGCACAAUUAAAUUGUUAUGUGGAAUUUGUGAGUUAAUGUAUAAAAUUAAAUUAGAAGCAUAUUAGGUUUUUCCUAAAACCUAAAGGGAAUUGAAAAAAAAAAAAAAGGGAAUGGGAUUGGUGCAUCGCACCAUCCCUGUGCCAAAAAGGAAAACAAGCUUCAGCCUGAUUUUGGUUUCUUUGCUGGGCCUGCAGCCCAUGGCCUCUCUCGGCCUGCAUAAAAAACCUGCCAGCCCUCGGCUGGGCGCCUUAUGCACACACGGCACACAAAGCCAGCCCUCGGGCUGGGCCUUUUGCGCCACAAAAUCAAGGCCCCAGCUUCGCUGGGCUCCCUGUGUGACCAACCCGCAAGCCUUGGGCUUGCCCCCGUGUCCCCUUGGACCAAAACACCUAAACCAGCUACGGCUGGGGGUUUUGUCCCUCCCGUGGCCUGCAGCCAUACCCUAGGCCCUGCCGUUUUUACUCAAGGCACCCCGUGCCUUCCCUUACCCACGACACCCAUGCCCAAAUAAUUUUGGGGCAUUUUUCCACCCACAAGCUAUUAUUUUAGCAUUUUAAAUAAUUUAACCAGUAUGUUAAUAUUAUUUUGCUUCUACAAUCGACCAUGUAUGGCCCGAUUUAUUGAAUUAAUUAAAAGUGACCUGCAGUCCACUAAUCUGAUAAUGAAUCCAAAAUUAUUGACCUGAAGAUCACUUUUGGACAUUAACGAUUCAAUAAUUUAUUUUUAUACUUUGAACCGUCACAUACUUUCGUAGUAACGAAGCUCUCACACUUAAGUUCCCGAAGCCAACUCAAAUCCUUAGUUAGUAUAUUGCAUUCUGUGUUUCUUGCAGGAACCUCUCAUUAUGAACUAAUCGUUCAUAAAACUAAUUUGAACCUGUAGUUUCAAAAUUAGUGCCUUUGAAACCUGAAGUUUUCAUUCAAAACAUACCACAUGAAACCUAAAGUUUUCAUGCAUAAAUUAAACUAAUACAUGUCUAUAGAACCUGUAUGUUCUACGAUAUAUGUCUAUGGCUUACCAUAUAACUAAUCACGUUUUUCCCUCUGUUUUAGGGACAUGUCGAACUUGAACAAGCUCGAUUUCUCCACUCUCGAAGUCUCUGGAAGAAACUAUCUGAAGUGGGUUCAAGACGUGAAACUCCAUCUCACUGCAAAAGGUAUUAGAGCCACCAUCGAGACACCUAUUGCCGACAAACCUGUCGACGAAGCUCAGAAGGCUACUGCAAUGAUCUUCAUUCGAAGACACAUCCAUGAUGCAUUGCAGACUGAGUAUCUCGCUGAGGAGGACCCACGCACCAUCUGGCUUGCUCUGGCUGACCCUUUCGAUCACUAGAAAUACAUAUACUUGCCUGAAGCAAGACACGACUGGCAGCAUCUUCGUUUCCAAGACUUUAAGUCCGUGAAUGAAUACAACUCUAAAGUUUGUAGAAUCCAUUCUUUGUUGAAAUUCUGCAAAGUGGAACUAACCGAAUCAGAUCUCCUGGAGAAGACCUAUUCGACCUUCCAUACCACCAAUAUUGUCCUGCAGCAAUAAUAUAGGGCACAAAAAUUCACCAAGUUUUCAGAUUUGAUCUCUGUUUUAAUUCUUGCUGAAAAGCAGAACCAGCUUUUGAUGAAGAAUCAUCAAGCUCGACCCACUAGCUCGAACGCUGCGCUUGAAGCGUAUGCGACCAAUUUUAGCAGCCAUAAACGACGAAAGAACCGUCGUGGCCAUGGAAAUGGGCGGCAAGCCUAACCACAGGCCCAAGGUCAACAGAGUGCCGCACCUAAGGAAAGAAUUACGACCCAGCAGCGUUCACCACUCGCACCUAAGGUCCCAAACUUCAAGAACAAGGGCAAAGCUCCCGUUCAGGCCGCUUCUAUUGAACUAGAUAUGUGCUAUCACUGUGGAUCAAAUGAUCAUUGGUCAUGCGUAUGCCGAGCUUCCCCUGAGGCUAUUGCUAAGUAUCAUUCCCGUCGUGAGCCUAACUUUGCAUAUGUGGAUCAUCCGGAUGAUGCAACCACAUCAAUGGAGAUAUCAGACUUCCAGGAGGCAUCAGCACCUAUGGAAGACUAAAUUAGACAUGUUUUAGGGCAUUAGCCCCUAGUGGCCGAACCCACUAGGAGUGGCCGGCCCCUACCCCCUAUUUUGCUAGGUUUAUGGUUUAAUUUUGAACAAUUUUUCUAUGUAUUUGGAAUCAUUUGUUUGGUUUUGGUUUGUUUUGAAUUAUGGAUUGUUAUUGGAAUGGAUAUUAUUUUCUCGAAUUGCUUAAUUGAAUGAAUGAACUUAUAUUUAUGCAUGUGACCAAUUCCAUCAAUUUAUUCUAGGUAUGUAUAGUGGGGAAGUUAGUUGUUUGGCAGAUAGUGCAACUACGCACACCAUUUUGCGUGAACGACACUAUUUUACUAACUUCAUACCCAAGAAAGCUCAUUUGACAACUUUCUUAGGCUCAUCCAACCUGAUUGAAGGAUACGGAAAGGCACGUAUCAUGUUAUCUAAUGGUACAAUCUUGACCAUUAAGGAAGCACUUUAUUCUCCACGUUCCGGAAGAACGUUGCUAAGUUUUUAGAGAUAUUCGAGAUAAUAAAUAUCAUAUUGAAACCACUGAAGAUCAUGGUUCUGAAUUUCUUUGUAUCACUUCAUACGAAUAUGGCCAGAAGUAUAUUCACAAGAAGUUGGAACGUCUGCCGAGUGGGUUGUACAUCACAACCAUUCGCAGCAUAAAGGCCCACAGUGUGGCCGGCCCUAUGCCUGAGUUCUAGGACACUUUGUUGCUUUGGCAUGACCGUUUGGGACAUCCUGGACGUGACAUGAUGCGCCGUAUCCUCAAAUCUUCACACGGGCAUAAGUUACACCUACACGUUGGAGUCCAGCCAUGCAUAGCGUGUUCUUUAGGGAAGUUGAAUACUCAACCCUCCCAUACAAAGAUUAAUCAAGACCCUCCUAAAUUUCUUCAGAGGAUUCAAAGGGACAUUUGUGGACCUAUCCAACCAACCUGCAGACCAUUUAGAUACUUUAUGGUGUUGGUUGAUGCAUCGACAAGAUGGUCACAUGUUUGCUUGUUGUCCAUACCAAUGCCGCAUUUGCUAAACUCCUAGCUCAAAUCAUUAAGCUAAGGGCUCACCACCCUGAUUAUCCGAUUAAGUCGAUUCGACUGGAUAAUGCUGGAGAGUUUACGUCACAGACUUUUGACGAUUAUUGCAUGUCAGCAGGGAUUAAUGUGGAACAUCCUGUGCCCCAUGUUCACACCCAAAACGGCCUGGCAGAAGCUUUCAUAAAGCGCCUUCAAUUGAUAGCUCGGACUUUGGUUAUGAGAACCAAACUGCCGGUAUCUGUCUGGGGGCUAUGCAAUAUUGCACGCAGCUAUGUUGGUCUGCCUGAGGCCCAUCGCUACCCAACCACAUUCACCGUUACAGUUGGUCACUAGAUACGAGCCUGACGUCUCGCAUUUACGGGUGUUUGGGAGUGCCAUUUAUGUGCCAAUAGUGCCGCGGCUACAUACCAAAAUGGGUCCUCAGAGAAAAAUGGGAAUCUAUGUCGGUUAUGAUUCACCAUCAAUUGUUCGAUACUUAGAACCCUUGACAGGAGAUCUCUUUACCGCACGUUUUGCGGAUUGUCACUUUGAUGAGACAGUCUUCCCGUCAUUAUGGGAGAUAAGCAUGCUAACGUUCCUGUAGAACGCCGUGAAUUGUCGUGGUAUGCUCCCACUAUGUCUCAUUUAGAUCCCCGCACUGCCCAAUAUGAAACUGAGGUGCGACGAAUUAUAGAUCUUCAGAGCAUUGCUCAAAGCAUGCCGGAUGCUUUUAAUGAUCUAGCAAAGGUGACAAUAUCACAUAUACCCGCUGCAAACACACCUGCAAGGAUAGAUGUACCCCGUGUACAUCAACAGCCCGUCUGGGAAGGCCGAGCCAUCCCCAAAGGUGGGGAGGCCGCACCCUCCACACGGUAUGGUACAUUGGCGGCUAGCCAAUCAUCUGCGCCGACCCUGAAGCGUGGCAGACCCCCUGGUUCAAAGGAUUCACAACCUUGGAAGAGGAAAAUGGCACCAACUAGUGACCCUAGUUUGAAUCCGACCACCGUUAACUUAUCCGUUCCAACGCAUGAGGUUAUUCUAGAUUACGGUGAUGCUUCAGAUGGAACAUGCCGGCCUCCCGAGAAUCGCGAGAUUUUGGUCCAUUACACAGUAUUGGAUGAGAUUUGGAAUAGGAAUGAGAUGAUCAUCGACGACGCAUUCUCGUACUCAGUAGCUACUAACAUCAUGCUUAGCGAUGACAUUGAACCACAUUCCGUCGAUGAAUGCCGACGUAGAACCGAUUGGUCAAACUAGAAACAAGCAAUCAGGUCAAACUUGAUUCACUCGCGAAACGUAAAGUGUUUGGACCUGUCGUCCCUACACCACCACACGUGAAGCCUGUUGGCUACAAGUAGGUUUUCGUGAGGAAGUGUAAUGAGAAGAAUGAAAUAUUGCGAUACAAAACACGCCUCGUAGUGCAAGGCUUCUCUCAACGCCCUGGAAUUGAUUACGAGGAAACAUAUUCCCCCGUAAUGGACGUUAUAACGUUCCACUACCUUAUCAGUUUGGUAGUUUCUGAAAAACUGAAUAUUCAGCUUAUGGACGUGGUAACCGCGUAUCUCUAUGGGGAUCUAGAUACGGAAAUAUACAUGAAAGUUCCAGAAGGACUUCCAUUAACUGGCUCAAAUAGUUCUAGACCACGGAACACUCUCUCAAUUAGGUUGAAGAGGUCACUCUACGGAUUGAAACAAUCUGGGUGGAUGUGGUAUAACCGUCUGAGUGAAUAUUUGACAAGUCAGGGUUAUGUGAACAACGAACUAUGCCCAUGCGUGUUCAUAAAGAAGUCACAUUCUGGAUUUGUAAUUGUUGCAGUUUAUGUCGAUGACAUGAACCUCAUUGGUACUCCCGAAGAGCUUGAGGAAAUUGCUGCAAACUUGAAUCGAAAUUUGAGAUGAAGGAUCUUGGGAAAACUCGAUAUUGUAUCGGCCUGGAGAUCGAGCAUUUCAGAUUGAAUCCUAGUACAUCAAUCGAACUACACCCAAAAUGUGUUACGUCGCUUUAAUGAGGAUAAAGCGAAGCCUUCGAGCACACCCAUGAUCGUUCGGACUCUAGAUGCUAAACGAGAUCCCUUCCGUCCAAAGGAGGAUGAGGAAGAGAUUUUGGAACCCGAAGUUCCUUACCUAAGUGUAAUUGGUGCUUAUUAUACUUGGCUCAGUGCACUAGACCCGACAUCUCUUUCGCUGUGAAUCUAUUGGCUAGAUACAGCAAUGCGCCUACACGCAGGCACUGGAAUGGUGUCAAAGACAUUUUCCGCUACCUCAAAGGUACUACGGAUUUGGGCUUGUUCUAUACCCACAAAUCUCCUAGUGUUGCCGCCCCUUAUGGAUCUAUGAUUGAUUCUCGCCUUGUUGGUUACGUAGAUGCUGGAUAUCUGUCUGACCCACAUAGAGCACGUUCUCAAACGGGUUAUGUCUUUACCGUUGGAGACACCGUUAUAACUUGGAGGUCUACCAAGCAAACGCUAGUUGCGACUUCGCUAACCAUACUGAGAUUCUCGCCCUGCAUGAAACAUCGCGUGAAUGCUUUUGGCUGAGAGAGUGAUGGGACAUAUUCGAAGCACUAGUGGUCUUACAUCAGUCGUUGGCCUUCCUACGACAAUCUUUGAAGACAAUACAUCAUGUAUCGAGCAGUUAAAGAAGGGAUACAUCAAGGGAGAAAACACCAAGCACAUAGCGCCAAAGUUCUUUUACUCACACCAGCAGCAGCAGCAUCAGAACAUUGAAGUCAAGCAAAUCCGUUCCCAGGACAACCUGGCCGAUCUCUUCACCAAAUCAUUGCCAAAAUCUACAUUUCAGAACCUCGUCCAAGGAAUCGGUAUGCGUAAAUUAUCAGAAUGAAAUCGCUUGUAGUUCUCUUAUUUAAGAAGUUAUGUCUAACUCAGGGGGGAGUAUCUAGAAGCAUACUGACAUGAUCUUAAUGUACUCUUUUUCCCUACGAUUAGGAGCAUUUUGCCCAUUGGAUUUUUGCUACCUAAUUAGGUUUUAACGAGGCACCCGUUCUAGGAUGAUCAUACUCCGUUAAGUUCACUACAUUCGUCCAGUUUGACGAUUGUUUUAGACAUUAUGCAUAUUUUCUUACUUUUCUCCUUAGUCUAUGGGUUUUUCCCCAUUCCUUGGGUUUUACCAUAGCGAGGUUUUGUGAGUUUUUACAAAUGCAUACUUCAAAUUAAAUUUGAGACUCGUGAUGACCCGUUGUGCCGAUGACUUCAUCAACUAUUCUACCUUCUCUGCUGAAGAUCUGAUGCGAUGGUUUGUUGAGUAUUUACACACUCAAGGGGGAGUGUUGCAGUUCUAUUUAGAAUAGGAAUGUGAUUGUGUAAAUCCUAGAGAAUAUGGGAAAGUAUUAUAUAUUCCUAUUAGGAUUAGAUUAUCUAUUAAAUGUUGUAAUCAUAAAGGGAAAUGUAUUUACCCUUCCAACUACUAUAAAUAAAGGCACAAUGGGGUGAAUCAAACACACCUCACAAUUAAAUCAAUCUCUCUUCUCUCUAAAGUGGCCGGCCUCCCUCUCUCUCUCUAAACCUUAGAUCGCUCAAUCAAAUAGGCCAACAACAAAUAUAUCAUUUUUAUUUAAACUAGGAGAAAAUAUGAAAUUUUAUAUUUCAAUUUUAUUCAAUUUUAAUUUCCUGUGCUAAUUGGCAAAGGUUUUUUAUGAAAGUUGACUGUCCUAUUUAUAAAAUGUGGGAGGAAGACUUAGGUUAGAGAAGGAAUCCUGCCAAAGUCAACUAUAACUCUUAAGGAUAUGAAUUAAUACUGUAAUUUGAUUCUGAUUGUACUAGAAUAGGAUGAGAUUCUUACUUGUACGUUGUAUAAAUAUAAGCCCAAGGUUCUAAAAAAUGUUAGGCGCUAGUCGGGCGGCGGGCUAGCGCCUAGCGCCUAGGCGGAUUUAGGUAAAUUUCUUGUAUAUCUUGUAAAUAAAUGCAUAUUGACACCUAAAAAAAACUAUACUUUUAUGGAUAAUACAAUAAUGAUAAAAUGAAAAUUAGGUACACUAUUUCCAUAAGUGGAUGAACUUGUAGUAAAUCCAUCAUUUGCAAAUUAGAUACACCAUUUCCAUAAGUAUACCACCAUGAAACCAAAAAAGAAAAAAACACACAAUUAAUAAAAAUAAAUAAUAAAAAAACCUCCUAGGACCGCCUAGCUCGCCUAGCGCCCAGCCCGCCCAGCUCGCCUAGGCGCCGCCUAGGCCCAACACGAUUUUUCCACCCGAUUUGCCCAAAAACGCCUCGGUUGCUAGGCCGCCUACCGCCUAGGGCGUUUUUUAGAACACUGUAUAAGCCUUUGUGUUAUGAAUAAAAUCAUUCAGAAUAUAUUUUCUUUAUUAGGGGUUAGACGAGUGUCAAUUGAAAAAUAAAUUCUAAGCUGAGUUUUUUUGUGAAGAAAUUCAAUGGAAGCUAACAAUGCAUUACAAGAUAGUUGUGGUGUCAUGCCUAAAGAUAUAUAAUUACGGGAUUAAGGGCUAAUCACAAUGAUUUUUUACAUGGGUACUAUACCAUGGUUGAUCUUCAUGACCUCGAACUUAUGGUGACCUCAGAUUUUUUUACAUAAGUACUAUACCAUGUUUUUUUUAUAUGGAACCUUAUCAGUAGCAAUUGGAACUUGUUUAUAUUGAUAAACUAUGAACAACAUUGAUAUAGUCUAUUAUGUAAAAGGGUUUUAAAUGUCGCCCCUCCUCCCCCCCCCCAAUAAUUCCUAGUUUCGUCACUGGUCACAAUUUCGAAAAGGAACACACAUAUCACUCAUUUAAUACACAAACACAUACAAUACAAACAAUCGAAAUUAAAUGAAAUUAUGGAUUAUAUUUGUCGGCGAUUAAGAGCUGACCUUCAAGAAGUCCUGCGAAGCGACGCCAAGGAGGUAGAAGGAGUGGGCGCCAUGGACGAGAAGUAAGAAGAUCGCAAAGAUUGCCAGGACUGCCGGGGAUUUACGAGAUGCCAUGGCCUCCGGCUGAGAGAGAGAAGAGGAGGCCUGUAUAGGUCUGGAAAGGAGGCGAAUGAGGAGGAGUUAGUUUAUUGGUUGGUGUUUAAUAGUUCGAUUCGUAUUUACUAUUGCGUAGAAAUAAAAUAAAAUUUAUAUAUACUAAAGCCGAAUGAAAACAACAAACAUGUAUAAAGUAUGUUAUGUUUACUUUUUGAUGGGGCUCAAAUCAAUAAAAAAUAAACAAAUUGCUUUCGAAGUAGUGAAAAAUAUUUAAAAAAUCAAAAUAAAGUAUUUGAGAGUGUUGAUGCCAAGAGCUUGAUGCCGAAUUUCGACUCAGCUUUAGCGUACCGGGUGGAGAAACUUAUGCUGUCAAAAACUAAUGUUGGAGUCUUCACCGUGGAAUUGAAGCCUUGGUUGGACAGUUGUGACAUCAAACAUCAAAUCUUUAAUUUUUUUUUAGUAUUGAUAAUAAACAUAUUACACUAAGAAUAAACGGUAAAGACAAACACAUUAAUGCACAAAGAAAUAAACCCUCUUCAGAUAAUUAUUAGCAACUGUUAUAUGUGUUAUAAUUUUUAUCCAAUUUAAUUUUUCGGAUGAGGACUUGGAGAAGCAGCCAUGGAACUACUCUCUCUCUUUUUAAAACUUCAUUGAUAAUUCAGCCAUUGUUAAUCAAAUUCAAAAACUGGUGAGGGUCCAAAUUUGUUGAAUAUAGGCUGUCAGUCUAAAGUUAUUAUAAUUUAGUUGCAAAUUGAAAUACUUAUAAAUCUGAACAAUUUUAGAGAUUGUACAUAGCUUGAAUUUGAAAAUUCGGAUGGACCCUCUUUCUUUUGUUGUAUUGCUAAUAGCCUGAAAACUGUCUCAAACCGAGGGUUAGGCCAAAAGGCUUGUGGGUCUCACUCGGCCAAAACCAGGCAAUCAGGCUAGUGGGCUAGCCAUCUCCAACCAGCCAGCCUGAUUUUUUUUGUUCUUUUCCAUUUGCCCAGCCCACUUUUUUUGGAUUUUUUUUUAAUUUCUAAUUUUUUCCCUCCACCAUUUCUCACAUAUUUUUCACUAUUUCAUACUAUCUUACCUCAUUUUAUUUCAAUUCUUCACAUUCCAUACUAUAACCCUUUGGCCCUUGAUUGGAGAUGGUUUUUUGUCACAGGGCUAUGUUUGGUCUAUGGACCUCUGGCCCCACGGUUGGAGAUGGUAAGAAAUAUGGCCAUGCACGGUUCAUUAAAAUAUUAAUUUUUUAGAGGGCCAGAUGGCUAAAACGAGCAUUCUGGCCCUCAUUCGGUUGGAGAUGGCCUAAGCUACUCGUUAUGAAGUGACCUUAAAUUAGUAGUGGACUAUAACUAAAAAAAACUCAAAACCCUAAUUUAGAAUAAUUAGGAUGUCCAUUCUUGAUAGGUAAACAUAAUAUCCACAUCUUUUGUUUUAGGUAUGUUUGCCCACAACGCAUAAUUAUAUGCUAAUUUUAAAAAAGACGCUAAAAAAUGUGUUAAUAGACAUACAGCAAGUGAGGCGGCUGUUUGGCGUUUUGCAAUGGGAAGGAGUGGAUUUUUAUCAGAAAUAGAAAAAGAAAAAAGCAAAAUGAAAAAAGAGUUUAUCUAUUUAUGGAAUUUAACCGCACAGAAGAAUACUUGAAAAGCUUUGGAAUAUUCCAAUAUUGGAACAUACACGUGUCAGGUUGUUGGAGCUGGACCAUCUGGUUUUUAUGAUUCUUAACAAACUAAAUUGCAAUAACUCUCAAUUUCCACAUUAUUUAUUGCCAUUGCCACCAUUGAGAUAUGCGGACUAUUUUGUAAAGAAAAUGUUCAUUUUUUUUCCAAUUUUACCCCUCACUUUUGAGACACAAUGUUGACAUGAGGAGGGCAAAAUAGUAAUUUUGUAUCAAAAUACAUAAGAUAAAAAUAUGCACUUAUUAAGAGAAAUUAUCACACCAUCAUUUUUUCAUACUGGUAACUGAAAAUCAUGAUGUUUUUUGGAUAGUUUGAAUGAACUUAAGCGGUUUCGCUUGAGGAGAACGUGGGAGGAGGUGGACGGUUGUUCACACACACAAAGUGUGUGCUCUAUGCUAGUCAUAAUUACGUAUGCAAUAGCCGAAUAUAAUUGGAGUGAAUGAUUGUCGUAGUAUUUACCUGACAAAAGCAAUCACGUAAUGCAAUAGAUAAACAUGGCUCAAAUUCAAGGAAGGGAAUGAUUGAAACCCAAAAUAAAAAGAAUUAUUAUUGACACUAAAAAAUUCUCAUUGUAUACUCCGUAAUUUCAAUAUUUAAAAUAAAAGUAUAGUUUUGAAAAGUACUAACGAAAUUUUUGAACUGUUAAUAACAGUUCUAAAAUAUAUUAUUAUUUAGAGAUUUGAUUAUUCAAAAAACAAAAAUCUUAAACUUUAAUUUACCUAUUUAGGGGUCAUAAGGUACAAUUUAAUCGCACGCGAAACACGUGAUUUGCUAAAAUACAAUUUCUUGGGACCCAUCCGCACGUAACCGGACCCCGCCUAGCAUAAAAAAUGGGCCCACAGACCAUGUCCAUGAUGACUCAACCUUCCACAAACGCGCACGCCCGAAAAAAUACCACGUGGUUACUUCCUUAAAUAUCACGUUUGGCUUGGAGGGAAAAUGAUCCCCAAUCCUCUUUGUGGUGAUUCAGGAUAAAAUAAUUAUGUUCGUUUAUCGCACAUUGUGCGAUAAAAAAUCAUUUAAAAUUUAAAAUUGAAUAUAAAUAGUGUCUAACAAAAAUUGAUCGCACGAUUUACGAUGAACAGACAUGAUUGCUUGAUCUUUAGGAUUCCCACAAAAAAGAUCCGGCCUGGAGAACUAAAAACACAUAUAUGCCUGUACAAAAUCCGACACUGCACCAAUAUAAGAAUCCUAGCCCCUACAUUCAUAGCUAGUUCCGACACUGCACCAAUAUAAGGCGAGAGUUUUCGGUGGAUUGAAGCACGUACAUAUAAUAUAUAUCAUACUUACAUAUGCAAUAGCUGAAUAUAAUUGGAGUGUACGAUUGUCGUAGAAUUUACCUGACAAAAAUAAUCACGUAACGAAAGAGAUAAACAUGGCUCAAAUAUGAUUGAAACCCAAUUGUUGAUACUAAAAAAUUCUCAUUGUAUACUCUGCAAUUUCAAUAUUUAAAAUAAAAGUAUAGUUGUGAAAAGUAUUAACGAAAAUUUUAAAAUGUCUAUAACAAUUUUAAAAUAUAUUAUUAUUUAGAGAUUUUAUUUUCUAGAAACAAAAAACUAAACUUUAAUUUACCCAGGGUCAUAAGGUACAACUUAAUCUCACACGAAACACGUGAUUUGCUAAAAUACAGUUUCUUGGGACCCAUCCGCAAGUAAUCGGACCCCACCUAGCAUAAAAAAUGGGAAAAUGAUCCUUGCAUGUCUCUUUUCCUAUGAAUUUUAGGGAUUCCGCAAUCAUAAUCAUUCAUCAUAUAUCGUGCGGUCAAUUUUCGUUAAGUACUAUUUAUAUUUAAUUUUUAAAUUAUUUCUGAUCACACUAUAUACGAUAAAUGAUCACGAUCAUGGGAUUCGUAACAUCUCUAAGAAAGGGAUCCUCGCAUCCUUUUCAUAAAAAAUGGGCCUACACGCCAUUUCCACGAUGACUCAACCUUGCACAGACGCGCACGCGCAAAGAAAUACCGCGUGGUUACUUCCUUGAAUAUCACGUUUGGCUUGGAGAACUCGAAACACAUAUAUGCUUGUACAGAAUCCGAAAGUUACGAUCCCCUACCCAGCAAGCCAAAGAAUGCAAUCCUCCCCCGAAUCACAACGCUCCGCGUGGCAAAAUCACAACGAAAUCGGGCAAUAAAAUUUAGAGAGCUUCGAUCGUACUCAGCGCAGCACAAAAGCAAUCGAUUCCCCCCAAUCGCAAGGACACACGUGGAAACAUCCAAAACAAAAUCUAAGUAGCAAAACUUCCCAGGUAUUUACUCCGAAACCCAAAGCAGUAACAAAUUGACGAAACAUACCGAAACUCACCCCGAAAUCCAAAUCCAGUAACAAAAUUACCGUGCCCCCAAAUGCGUAACUCCUUCGGGAAUUGGGAAUCCAAAUCCGAAUCCGAGAAGUGUUCUAUUUUGGCUCCGGAACAGUUCACUAUAAAUAAAACAGUAAUACAGAGCAAAUCAAGCCCCUCUGCAAAUUCACAGUGAAGAUUUUGAAGUCUCUGCCAUAAUCUCGCCGUAACGUAAAAAAUUGCGUCAGGGAUGCUUCAAAGUUUCGUUUUUCCUCGAGAGGUUUUGUUAUGGAGUCGGCGGAGGCGAAGAGGAUUUUGGAGCCGGAGGAGGAGGUGGUGAUGAAGUGCUACUGCUGCGGUUUGAAAGAGGAGUGCACACCGGUGUACGUAGCGACGGUGAAGGAGAGGCACCAGGGCCAGUGGAUUUGCGGACUCUGCACUGAGGUGAUCAAGGACCAGAACUCGAGGUCGUCGAGGAAGAUUAGCACGGAGGAGGCCCUGAAGCGGCACGUCCGCUUCUGCGAGGAGUUUCCGACGUCGAGUCCUCCCGCGAACCCGACGGAGGAUCUGACAUCGGCGAUGAAACAGCUGUUGUGGCGGACUCUGGACUCGCCGAGGAGGGAGAGGCUGGGCGACUGCAGGCCGACGAUGGUGAGGUCCAGGCCGGUCCUGAGAUUUUGGAGCUCCUUGCAUGGUCUAAACUUUUGGUUGCUAUAUUUUUUUUUAUAUUUUAUAUUUUUAUUGUGUGUAAAUUGAUAUAAUGCAAAAGAAAAUAAAUAAAUAAAUAAAGAAAAAUGAAGCAUAGUGUGGUGGUCAUGUACCUAUCUGUGUUCUCUAUGUUUUUUAUUAGAAUAUCCAUACUUUUUAAAUACAAAAAUCUUGGUGAUAUGACUGUGUACUUAUUAUAUCACCGUACAAAUACCAUAAUCAAAAUCAUUCAUGCUCUUCUUAUCAUCUAGAGUUCAUCUAAAAAAAAUUAUGUGUUAAACGAAUCACUAGUUAUGAUAUUAGUAGCAUCUUAUAAUGAACUUUUUUCAUUGCAUUUUUUGUCAUGCCCUAAAGUGAGGAUGAUUCUCACUCCCCCCCUCCCGUUGAUUGCCAUUAGAUUAGUUAAAAUUUUGAGAUUCAUGUCUUAAACAAUUAAACCAACUUAAUCUAACAAUAUAGGUGUAGUUGUACCAUAAUUUUCUUUUUGAUAUGGAUGACUCAAUAGUCUUCAAAUGGAAUGAAAAAUAGAUGACUUUUAAACGGUGACCAAAAGAAUAAAUGAUUCUAAUUAUGAAAUGUAUUCAAUUAAAUGAUAUCAUAUAAGGAAUGAAGGCUUUUAAAAAAUUAUAUCAAAUUUAAGAGUUUUAAUUUAUUAUGAUGUUCCUAACUACAAAUUUAUUAGCAAAAUUAUCUUAUAUAAUGAAAGAAAUUAAACUCCAAAUAUUUAAAAAUAGAAAAAAUAGUGUAGCUUAAAAAUCCCAAAAUAGUUAGCCCGCACAUGCACUAUAUGAAAGAAACAUGGCUGGAAGAAAAAAAAAAUCAAAAACAACAAAUAUGACAAACUAAGGUGUCGAACCCGUGCACUACCACAUGAAGGAACCAACGCUUCCCAGCUUUUUUAUAUAUAGAAUAUUAAGAAGGAUUUUAGAAAUUGGGGGCCCCAGAAAAUCGGGAGCCCUGUACGAUCGCACUCCUCGCAUCCCCUCAAGGCCGGCCCUGCUGCAGUCCCAAAUGCGAUUUUCAUCCAUUCUGUACCCUGAAACGUCUUGUACAAACGAACAGAGGUAUAACCGGCGAAAAGUCCCACGAAAACAAAAAGCAAGAGCAUUGUGGUCAUAAGACCGCCCCGGUUAGAUGGGGAGAGGAAGCCAAGGACAGCAAAUAUCAUUGUCACCGGUAUCAUUCCAAACAAUUGAACACCAGUUCCAACAUAUACAUAGAGCAAUUCAGAGUUAUUUGGAGGCCUGAAGACAUCCCCGUGGACAAGUUUCCAUCCUGUUUCUUCUUGCGCUUCUCCUGGGUCUUAAGUUCAUUAUACUUGGAGAUAUCACGGUAGAGUGUUCUUAGCAUAAUCAUCGCUACCAUACCCGAAAGGAAGAGGACAAUAAUCAAUGAGUUGACAAUUGAAAACCAAUGGAUUUGGUCGUCACUUAUCCAGAUAUAAGCAUCCCAUCUAGAAGCCCACUUCACAUCACUCUCCUAAACAGGUAGACAUGAAAAGAAGUAUCCUAUGAGAUGACUAGUUCCUCAUAUGUUCAGCACCAUUACAUCAGAAAUAUUAGGGCAAUAGACAUACGAUAGUAGUUCAUGACACAAAUAAAUGAUGCUGUAAUAAGUAAAGAGUAGACAGUAAAUUACCGAACAACAACAACAACAACAACAAAGCCUUUUCCCACUAAGUGGGGUCGGCUAUAUGAAUCAUAGAACGCCAUUGCGCUCGGUUUUGUGUCAUGUCCUCCGUUAGAUCCAAGUAGUCAAGUCUUUUCUUAGGGUCUCUUCCAAAGUUUUCCUAGGUCUUUCUCUACCCCUUCGGCCCUGAACCUCUGUCCCGUAGUCACAUUUUCGAACCGGAGCGUCAGUAGGCAUUCUUUGCACAUGUCCAAACCACCGGAACCGAUUUUCUCUCAUAUUUCCUUCAAUUUUGGCUACUCCUACUUUACCUCGGAUAUCCUCAUUCCCAAUCUUAUCCUUUCUCGUGUGCCCAUACAUCCCAUGAAGCAUCCUCAUCUCCGCUACACCCAUUUUGUGUACGUGUUGAUGCUUCACCGCCCAACAUUCUGUGCCAUACAACAUCGCUGGCCUUAUUGUCGUCCUAUAAAAUUUUCCCUUGAGCUUCAGUGGCCUACGACUGUCACACAACACGUCGGAUGCACUCUUACACUUCACCAUCCAGCUUGUAUUCUAUGGUUGAGAUCUCCAUCUAAUUCUCCGUUCUCUUGUAAGAUAGAUCCUAGGUAGCGAAAACGGUCACUUUUUGUGAUCUUCGCUAGAUUGCUCCGGUCAUUAGUGUGGAUAAGUAUAUAAAUGGAUAGAGAUAGGAAAGCAAACACAAGAUGUACGUGGUUCACCCAGAUUGGCUACGUCCACGGAAUAGAGGAGUUCUCAUUAAUUGUGAAGGGUUUACACAAGUACAUAGGUUCAAGCUCUCCUUUAGUGAGUACAAGUGAAUGAUUUAGUACAAAUGACAUUAGGAAAUAUUGUGGGAGAAUGAUCUCGUAACCAUGAAACUUCUAAGUACCGGAGUGUGGUAUCGUCUUGACUUUCCUUAUCUGUCUCAUAGGUAGAUGUGGCAUCUUCUCUGGAAGUACUCUUCCUCCAUCCAGGGGUGGUAUCUGUAACUGGUGGAGAUGCACAAGGUAAUGUAUCAAUGUCACUUGAAGCUUACUUGUAGUUUCAGGCUUGGUCAAGCGCGAUACAAACCAUGUAGUAGGAGUCCCCCAAGUCGCCGAGCUAGGGGAUCUGCUGAAAGAGGUGACAGACAAGGUAAGUAAUCAGAGCUCCGGCUGAUUGUUCACAUUCUCCCUAUCUUGCAGGAAGCAUAAAGGAUAAAGAGAAGAAAAAUGAGAAGAGAUGAUAUGGGAUACUUUUGCUUUUGAAGAAGUAACUUUCCACAUGCUUAUUCUUGAACUGGGCUGGAGGGUUUUCUGGUUUCCUCCAGAGUAUAAGGCCGACUGAAGAAUUUAAGGGUCAAAACAAGUCCAUCAAAUCUAGAGUACGUUCGACCUUGCUGAUAUGGGAUACUUUUGCUUUUGACAGAGUAAUGGAUGUAUCGGCACGUGUGCUGUUACGCUUGUCUCCACAUGCUUCCUUGUAUCCUUCUCACUUGCCCUAUCUGUUCCUCAGGCAGAUGCGGUAUCUUCCCUGGAAGCAUAAGAUGUUGAAGAUGAGUACUCGAGAGCAAUGCCAGGUAAGUAAUCAGGUAAGGGGUUCCAGACAGUCAGUUUCUGGCUAGAAGCUUGAUUCCAAGUGCUGACUGAUUGCUCUCUUUCUCAUUGUCUUGCAGGUAAGAACAAGGCCAAAUGAAAAGACAGGGAAAAAGCAUGAUAUGGGAUACUCUUUCUUUUAACCCUGAUGAUAUGAGAUAUUCUUGCUCUAGUAUAGCUUGUUUACAGAGGUAUUAUCGGGGGGAAAGAAAGCUAAAUAUUUCGAAAGGCUUCGUUGGGAGUGCCCUCUCAGCUAAGAGGAAGGGUUGAGCAUUUUUGCAGGUCUGCGUGUCCGUUGGGGAUGAAGGUCGACAUAUAUAGGAGUCUCCCUAACAUCAAGUAGUAAUGCUAUUCCUUUACCCUGCUUGGUCAUAGCUCGGUAGUGGGAUCUGCCAGCUUCACAAGUUUUAACUCUGUCAGAGCACUUUGAAAAAGUUGUAUGUGGUAUCUGGAAAGCUGAUGUUGCGUGUGAAGAUUACAGACAAGCUUUAUCUAAGGAGAUCCAGCUCUUGAAGUUGGGAAAGUGGUGCAUCUUCGGUUUUCGAACAAGCAAUCCUGUCGGGGAUCUGGCUCUCGAGAUUCGGAGAACGAUGCCUCUUCGAUUUUUGAGAAAGCAAUCCUACUGGGGGUCUGGCUCUCGAGAUUCGGAGAGCGGUGUCUUCGAUUUUUGAGAAAGUAAUCAUGUUGGGAGUCUGGCUCUCGAGAUUUGGAGGGCGGUGCCUCUUCGAUUUUGGAGCAAGCAAUCUUGUUGGGAGUGUUUUCUCGAAUGUGAGUAAAGGUUGGGCAUGUUUGCUAGUCUACCUUGCCAUGAAGCACAGAGAUUGACACACAGGGACUUUCCAAUUAUCUAGCAGUGGUACUGUUCCUUUACCCUCUCUUCGAUUUUUGAGAAAGUAAUCAUGUUAGGAGUCUGGCUCUCGAGAUUCGGAGGGCGGUGCCUCUUCGAUUUUGGAGCAAGCAAUCUUGUUGGGAGUGUUUUCUCAAAUGUGAGUAAAGGUUGGGCAUGUUUGCUAGUCUACUACCUUGCCACGAAGCACAGAGGUUGACACACAGGGACUUUCCAAUUAUCCAGCCGUGGUACUGUUCCUUUACCCUCUCUUCGAUUUUUGAGAAAGUAAUCAUGUUGGGAGUCUGGCUCUCGAGAUUUGGAGGGCGGUGCCUCUUCGAUUUUGGAGCAAGCAAUCUUGUUGGGAGUGUUUUCUCGAAUGUGAGUAAAGGUUGGGCAUGUUUGCUAGUCUACCUUGCCACGAAGCACAGAGGUUGACACACACCGGGACUUUCCAAUUAUCCAGCAGUGGUACUGUUCCUUUACCCUUGUGGGUAAUAAUAUGGUAGCUAGACCUUCAAAAUUUAUGUGUCUAAACUUUGUUAAUGUUGUUUCUUUGCUAUUCUUUUACCCUUCUUGGUCAGAGCGAUGUAGUGGGAGCUACAAGCUUCACGUGUCUCAACUUUGUCAGAGAACUUUGGCAAAGUUAUAUGUGGUACCCAUGAGCUACUGUUGCGUGUGGGAAGUGGGUGAUUGAACAGUACGAUUCAUGUGCUUUCUACUUCGCCAGAAAUCUUCGACAGAAUGCCCAUAAUUUCCGCAAAGCUAAGUGUGCGUGUGACAGGUGCUGACAGGGCUGGAAAAGUAGAUGCCUCUUCGAUUUCUGAGAUCGGCCCUCGUGGUAUCUGAGCAGCCCAGCUUUUGAGAAAGCAAGCCUCUUCGAUUUCUGAGAUCGGCCUUCGUGGUCUUUGAGCAGCCCAGCUUUUGAGAAAGCAAACACCUAUUCGAUUUCUGAGAUCGACCCUCGUGGUCUCUAAGCAACCCAGCUUUUGAGAAAGCAAACGCCUCUUCGAUUUCUGAGCAGGCGCCUCUUCGAUUUCUGAAGCUUCGUCGAGUGCAGAUUUUUAUAGGGGCUGACAUUAAGUUCCAAAGCACACUUGAAUAUCCACCAGUAGAAGCUCCAUUCUUGCACUUCUAAGAUCUUGAUUUGUCCGACCUCUUCUCUCUUCAACACCUUUGAAAAUGUCUGGCCCCUCCGACCGUCGUUUUGACUUGAACCUUGUUGAAGAGGCAGCCCCGCCUUCUCCAGACAACAUAUGGCGCCCAUCCUUCGUCUCCCCUACUGGUCCUCUUACCGUUGGGGAUUCCGUGAUGAAGAAUGAUAUGACCGCUGCGGUAGUGGCCAGGAACCUUCUCACUCCCAAAGAUAACAGACUACUUUCCAAACGGUCUGAUGAGUUGGCUGUUAAGGAUUCUCUGGCUCUUAGUGUUCAGUGUGCAGGUUCUGUGUCUAAUAUGGCCCAACGCCUAUUUGCUCGAACCCGCCAAGUUGAAUCAUUGGCGGCUGAAGUGAUGAGUCUCAAACAGGAGAUUAGAGGGCUCAAGCAUGAGAAUAAACAGUUGCACCGGCUCGCACAUGACUAUGCUACAAACAUGAAGAGGAAGCUUGACCAAAUGAAGGAAUCUGAUGGUCAGGUUUUACUUGAUCAUCAGAGAUUUGUGGGUUUGUUCCAAAGGCAUUUAUUGCCUUCGUCUUCUGGGGCUGUAUCGCGUAAUGAAGCUCCAAAUGAUCAACCUCUGAUGCCUCCUCCUUCUAGGGUUCUGUCCAGUACUGAGGCUCUGAAUGAUCCCCCUCCGGUGCCUUCUCUUUCUGGGGCUCUACCGACUGCUGAGACUUCUCCUAAGCAACCUUUGUGAAGGCUCCCUCUUGUUUGUUUAUUUUGACUCAAGUAUAUGUACAUAUUUGUAACUUAUCGGGGAUAUCAAUAAAUAAGAUUUCCUUCAUUUCAACGUAUUGUGUUAAAUACACCAAAACCUUCUUCGCUAAGUUCUUUGAAUUUUCUUUUGUUGAAGCUUGUAUGUUGAAGCUUUGUGAGUGGAGCAUGUAGGUUUAGGUAGUGUUCCCUUAAUUUCUCGAGUGAGGAAAACUUCUCGGUUUGAGACUUGGAAAAUCCAAGUCACUGAGUAGGAUCGGCUAUAUGAAUCUUAGAACGCCAUUGUGUUCUGUCCUGUGUCAUGUCCUCCGUUAGAUCCAAGUACUCUAAGUCUUUUCUUAGGGUCUCUUCCAAAGUUUUCCUAGGUCUUCCUCUACCCCUUCGGCCCUGAACCUCUGUCCCAUAGUCGCAUCUUCUAAUCGGAGCGUCAGUAGGCCUUCUUUGCACAUGUCCAAACCACCGUAACCGAUUUUCUCUCAUCUUUCCUUCAAUUUUGGCUACUCCUACUUUACCCCGGAUAUCCUCAUUCCUAAUCUUAUCCUUUCUCGUGUGCCCACACAUCCAACGAAGCAUCCUCAUCUCCGCUACACCCAUUUUGUGUACGUGUUGAUGAUGCUUCACCGCCCAACAUUCUGUGCCAUACAGCAUCGCCGGCCUUAUUGCCGUCCUAUAAAAUUUUCCCUUGAGCUUCAGUGGCAUACGGAGGUCACACAACACGCCGGAUGCACUCUUCCACUUCAUCCAUCCAGCUUGUAUUCUAUGGUUGAGAUCUCCAUCUAAUUCUCCGUUCUUUUGCAAGAUAGAUCCUAGGUAACGAAAACGGUCGCUCUUUGGUAUUUCUUGAUCUCCGAUCCUCACCCCUAACUCGUCUUGGCCUCCAUUUGCACUGAACUUGCACUCCAUAUAUUCUGUCUUUGAUCGGCUUAGGCGAAGACCUUUAGAUUCCAACACUUCUCUCCAAAGGUUAAGCUUUGCAUUUACCCCUACCUGAGUUUCAUCUAUCAACACUAUAUCGUCUGCGAAAAGCAUACACCAAGGAAUAUCAUCUUGAAUAUGUCAUGUUAACUCAUCCAUUACCAACGCAAAAAGGUAAGGACUUAAGGAUGAGCCUUGAUGUAAUCCUACAGUUAUGGGGAAGCUUUCGGUUUGUCCUUCAUGAGUUCUUACGGCAGUCUUUGCUCCUUCAUACAUAUCCAGUAAAUUACCGAGUAAAGAAAAAAUAAGUAAAGAGUAGACAGUAAAUUAUGAGUUAUAAUUCUCCUACGAAAAAAUACCGAGUAAAAUUUUAAAUUACAGAGCUCACCUGGAAUUCAACAUCAUAGGUAAAUACGAUUUCUUGAUUCUCGGCAACUUCUUGAGGAGAGUUAGCAUUAACAACAGUGUGUUUCGAAUGGGGGUUACAGGUAGUUAAACGAGUCCAAUCAUUCCAUUUCCCUUCAUAUUCAUGUUUAACACUGUGGACAUUCAACAGUCAAACAAACCAUAUUACCAACUGAUAAUUUAGAAAGAAGAUUCACCAAAAAGGAAUCAUGCAGGAGAAAAGGAACGUCCUGAAAAAUACUGACCUGAAUGGUUUAACCUCAAAUCCCACAAUUCUUGCUGUUCCAGUUCUCGGAUCUUUAUGGUACUUCACAGUAAAUGACAGAUGGUUGUGGAUGAAGUAUUCCUCUUCUUUGGUCUGAGCACAAUAACAUAGUGUAAGAACGAGAAAAACAUAAUCAUCCCCGAAUAAGAAAGGUAUUUGGUGCCAACAAAUACUGGACAUACCCCAUCAUAAUCCCCUUUGAACCCAACAUGGAAUCCAAGCUGAUAAACAGUACGAUCUUUUUGAUAUAGCCUUUGAAUGGGAACGACUAGAGGUAGAUUAUCAAGUAUCCUGUCAUAGAAAAAAAAGUCUUAAUAAGAUAUGCGACUUCGUUUUGGCUCCUCAAAUAUACUAGGAUAAAUCAUUUAAAUUGUCAGAAAAAAUUAAAUACAUGUUCACUCGAUACUCGUCAUCUAUCUUCUCCUUAAACUCCUUUACAAUGUUGGCAUUAGGUGUUAUCCGGCAGACAAUGUUGCACAUCUGAGGCUCCUGCAUACGAUACUGCACAAGCCCGAUUGUAAGUUUAUGAACAUAGGAGAAACAAGUAGGCUUAGAGUUCUUAGAGUUGUACAAAUGCAGCAACACUAACCACAUAGGGGGAGCUCGCGAUCCCGUCACCACGGAGCACUUCCCCAAGAUUCUCUAUAGUGUUGACGAUUCUCUCAGGUUGGCAGUAAGGGAGAGAGUAAUAUGAGUAAGGAAGCUGAGUCUUUGUAGAAGUCAGUGUGUUCACUUUAACCUUCAAACGAUCUCCCUGCAAUAAUUCAAAUUCCGCGAGGCAAAGCACUUUGCUUCUCAGUCAAGUGAAGUAAAACGACGGAAUUUCAAAUCUAAUUUACGAGAAGUAAUUCAAAUUCCACAGACAGCAUUUGUAAUGCAGUGAAACUAAAUGACGAUCUUCUUAGGGUACUUGCUUAGGAGUUAGGGCAUAUACAGAUCGAUGUCGGACCAACCAAGAAUUGAUGCGCCGCGAAUUACUCUCACUAUAUUUGAACUAAUAAGGUCAACUAACCCUAAUUCGACGAUCAUUUCAAUAGCAAAGUAGCAACCAAUCGAAUUCACGAUAACCUAAUCCUUCUAUUUUCCUCCAUUUUCUCGGCAACCAAACAGACGAAACCCAACACUAGGUCACAAACAGUGGAGAAGCUACACAAGACCUCUCGCCGGAAAUCGUCGGUUCUAGUUGUGCGGCACGGCGCUGCGCUGCUGGUGCUGCUGCACGUUAUAAUUUUUUUAAGAAGAUACCCAGGCCAAACGACGUGGUUUGGGCUUGGGAUUUUAAAAAAGUACUAAACAAAACGGCGCGGUUUGUGGGAGGGUGCAAUCCCAAUGAGAGAUUCAUAUGUGGGAUUGGACGGAUUAGUAUUCUAGUCGGAUUCUUUAUGUGGGUCUUUAGAAUCAAUCAAUUAUAUCCGUUCAUCUAAAUUAUACGAUUAUGAAUUAUUUUAAAUUUUUUAUUUAAAAUUAAAUAUAAAUAUUAACUAACGAAAACUGAUCGCACGAUAUACGAUGAGCGGACACAAUUGAUUGAUUCUCCAGAUCCCCACAAAGAUGAUCCGGAGAGGAUCCUCAUCCGGAUUGGACGGACGGCCCGAUGAAAAUUUUAACGCGGAAAGAAUUUCAUAUUGUUUUUUGCAUAAACGACUUGUAUUAUGGAUGAACGUAGUCAAUUUCUUCUUCUAGUCUCAUCUAAAAAGAAAACUAUAAAAAAAUAGAAAAAAAUUAACGUAAAAUGCUGUACAAUAUAUCAUUUUUAUUUAAACCAGGAGAAAAUAUGAAAUUUUAUAUUUCAAUUUUAUUCAAUAUUAAUUUCCUGUGCUAAGUGGCAAAGGUUUUCGAUGAAAAUUGAUUGUCCUAUUUAUAAAAUGUGGGAGGAAGACUUAGGUGUUAGAGAAGGAAUCUUGCCAAAGUCAACUGUAACUCUUAAGAAUAGGAAUUAAUAUUGUAAUUUGAUUCUGAUUGUACCAGUAUAGGAUGUGAUUCUUACUUGUACAUCAAGCAUAUACGUUGUAUAAAUAUAAGCCUUUGUGUUAUGAAUAAAAUCAUUCAGAAUAUAUUUUCUUUAUUAGGGGUAUUGAAAUUGAUGGGUUAGGAGCAUGGGUUGAUGUCUGUCCGUGGCACAUCAAGGUCAAGUUGUGACUGCAACUCUUUCCUUAUUUUCAGGUAGAGUUGCAGCUGCCACUAAACCAUCACUUUGUGUUCUUCCUUAAUUCUAGGGUUAUGUCUUCUAGUAGAUUUCUUGUAAGUUGUAUCUAUGGCUAGCCUUUUUCUCUCUAGUUACUUCUUUGUAGCUGUUAGCAUUUGUUUAUUGGGUAGGUUUUCCCUUCCUUGCUCGGUCUCCAUAUAUGAGACCUCUCUCUUGUAUUUCUCUCUUAUGAAAAAUAUACACACUUUGUUGAACUCAAAAAUCAACAUGGUAUCAGAGUUGGAACCAUAGGGUCCUGUUUCUGUUGUUCAAUCCAUUCCAUUCUAAUUUUUUUUUUCUUCUUUCUUGGUGUCUUCUACUCUUCGUUCACUGUCAUGGCAGAAAAUCAGACUUUAAGCCGAGAGGCAGCAAGCUUGUCAAACACUUCACCUUCCAGUGUGAUUCAUGGUGAGAUCAAUCCAAAUCUGCGCCUGUGCUCAGUGUUAUUAAACGAGUUUAAUUACCUACCGUGGUUUCAUGCCAUCUCUCUUGCCCUAGGUGGAAGAUCGAAGCUAGGGUAUGUCAAUGGAAUCACUAAAGCACCUGAACCAUCCUCUACAUCGUAUGGUGCAUGGCAUGCAAACGAUCAGGUUGUUAUGUCCUGGCUACUUAACUCUAUGGAACCUAAGCUGUCUGAACUCUUCAGUUACUCAGAAUCUUCUCAUGUUUUGUGGGAAUCUAUCAAAGAGAUGUAUGGCAGCCAGAACAAUGCUGCUCGUAUAUUUCAACUCAAGAAGAAUCUCACUGGGCUAAGACAAAGUGAUCAAUCCUUCGUGCAACAUCUUGGGAGCAUGAAGUUCAUAUGGAACAAACUUGACAUGUAUCGUCCACAUAUAACUGAUUCUGCUGCACUCCUCAAAAGAGCCGAUGAAGACAAAGUGUUUCAACUUCUGGCAAGUCUUGGAGCAGAAUAUGAAGAUCUUCGAAGUCACUUGCUGAUGACUGCAGAUAUGCCUUCAUUUAAUAGUGUUUGUCAAGCUGUCCAACGGGAGGAAACUCGAAGAAAAGUCAUGCACAUUGAACCCAAGUCCAACUCUGAGGCAAGGGUUUUCACCAGUAAUCAUAAACACACUGGUGAAAAAAAAAUUACUGGAAAGAAGGCAGAUUGGAAAUGUACCUAUUGCAACAUGAAGGGGCACAUAAAGGAAAACUGCUGGAUCUUACAUCCGGAGUUAAAGCCAAAGUUUGAUAAGGAAGGAAGAAUGAUCAAAGAAGGCAAGGAAAUUUUUCCAAAGGCUUUCCAUUCAACUAGCUCUUUGACUGGUGGUUUUCCAAACUUCACUGCAAAUCUCAUAGAUUUGAUAAAUGAAUUUGCAAGAUUUCUUCAAAGGAGAUGAGGCAUCACUGCAAAAGAGGAAGUGAUAUCUAAGAAUCCUACUGCCAUGCUUGGAAAAUUUGCAGGCUUCUUGAAUGAGACCACAACUCAAGACAAUGUUUCAGGUAUUAUCUCUGCCCUCUCCACUGCUCUCAAUGAAAUUACGCAUGAUUGUUGGAUCAUAGACUCAGGUGCCACAGAUCAUAUAACAAAUAAGUCAUAUUGCUUAGAUAAGUUUCAAAAUAUGCCUGAGUUUUCACUUGUGUCUGUAGCAAAUGGGAAAGGAUAACCUAUUAUGGGAAAAGGUAAACUUAAACUGUUAAGUGAAGAGAUUGAAUCAACAGCUUUGUAUAUGCCUACUUUUCCCUUCCAGCUUUUUGUCCAUAGGAAAACUCACAACCACUCUAAAUUGCCUUGUCAUAUUCUCUCAUCACAAUGUUAUAUUUCAGGAUCGAGUCACCCAGAAGAAGAUUGGUGAAAGGUUUCUAUUGAAUAGACUCUACUAUCUUUAAAGAAGCUCAAGCCUGUUAAGCAUCCUUUUGCCAACCUAAGUGUUCCUCAAGAGUACCAACUUUGGCAUCUUCGAUUGGCCCAUCCCUCAGAACCUGUGAUGAACAAACUAUUUCCAAAUUUUUGUAAAACCACACAUGAAUGUGAAGUUUGUCAAAUGUCAAAAGCAAAUAGGCUUCCUUUUGUUUCUUCCAAGUCUAGAACCAGUAAACUGUUUGAGGUUGUUCAUUCAGAUAUUUGGGGUCCUUCCCGUGUAGAAUCAUUUAAUGGAUAUAAAUAUUAUGCCACUUUUAUUGAUGACUAUUCUCAUUGCACCUGGAUUUAUCUCUUGAAAUUCAAAAGUGAAUUCUUUGAUGCUUUCAAAAACUUUCAUCAAUUAAUCUUAAACCAAUUCUCCUCUAAGUUAAACAGUUUACAAUCGGAUAAUGGCACUAAGUAUACAUCCAACAAUAUGUCUAAUUAUUUGAGCAAUCAUGGGAUUUUACAUCAAACCAGCUGUGUUGGUACACCACAACAGAAUAGUGUAGCCGAGAUAAAAAAAACUGUGACUUAUUAGAGAAAACAAGGUCUCUUAUGCUUCAAAUGCAUGUUCCUAGAAGGUUUUGGUCUCAGGCUCUCCUCACUGCAGCUUACAUCAUCAACAGGUUACCUACCCGUGUAUUUAAUUCAAAAUCACAUGUUGAAGUAAUGAAGGGAAGAACUAUUGACAUCUCACACCUGAGAACUUUUGGAUGCGCAUGUUAUUUCCAUAUUCAAGCCACACAUCGAGACAAGCUCGAUCCCAGAGCUGUCAAGAGUGCCUUCAUAGGAUACUCGAGCACUCAAAAAUGAUACAAAUAUUACAAUCCUCUUAAUGGAAAGAUUGGUGUCUCAAGGGAUGUUCGAUUUGAUGAGAAUGUUCCAUUCUUUCAUAAAAAUAGCAGUGAAGAAUCUCAGGGGGAGAACCUACUGGACAUUUUUCCUUUGCCCACUCCAGCACAUAUACAUGAAUUCAAUGUUCAUCUUGACCACCGGUCAAAACAACAUGAUGGUGAGGAAGCAUAUCCUGAUCAAGGAAGCCCAGGCACUACUCCUCAACCUGUCUUGGCACCACGAAGAAACCCUACUCAUGACAGGCAUCCUCCUCUAAGGCUGCAAGAGUACGUUACGUACACUGCAAAACAUCCCAUCUCCAAAGCCUUAACCUAUCAAAAACUGUCACCAUCCCAUGCAUCGUUUCUACAUCAGUUGUCCACUAAUGAUGAACCAAGAAAUUUUAAUGAAGCUGCUCACAUUCCAGUAUGGCAGGAAGCUAUGAAAUAAGAGUUUCAAGCAUUGAACAACAACUAAACAUGGAGUGUGGUUGAUCUUCCAAAAGGAAAAAUGGCAGUAGGGAAUAGGUGGAUAUACAAGACCAAGUUUCAUUCAAAUGGCAACAUUGAAAGACAUAAGGCUCGUUUAGUAGCCCGUGGCUUUACUCAAACUUAUGGCAUCGACUACAAGGAGACAUUUGCUCACAUAGCCAAAAUGAGCAUUGUACGAGUGUUGUUAUCUGUGGCAGUCAAUCACGAUUGGUCCCUAUUUCAAAUGGAUGUGAAUAAUGCAUUUCUUCAUGGUGACCUCGAAGAUGAGGUGUACAUGAAGCUUCAUCCCAGACAUCCACAAGAGUGUGAAACUAACAAAGUUUGCAAGCUCCAUAAGGCCAUAUAUGGACUGAACCAAUCUCCCCGAGCCUGGUACUCGAAGUUGAGUUCAGUCUUUGAAGCUGCAGGGUUCACAAGGAGCAAUAUUGAUUCCUCGUUAUUUGUUGUCACUGGUAUAAGUGGCAAACUACUUGUUCUUAUAUAUGUUGAUGACCUUAUUAUAACAGGUGAUAACAUAGAAGAAAUCAAUGCCCUCAAAUCCUCUCUUCAUCAACAAUUUGCCAUUAAGGAUUUGGGAAUCUUAAAGUACUUUCUUGGCAUUGAAAUGGCUACAUCCUUCAAGGGUUUGUUCUUAAAUCAAAUGAGCUAUGUUCUUGAUCUGUUGGAUGAAGCUGACAUGUUGAAUUGCAAGCCCGCUUCUACUUCUCUGGUGAGUAGACUUCAAGUAGAUACACACAGUGAACCACUACCAAAUCCCAGUGUUUAUCAACAUGUGGUAGGAAAACUAAUCUAUCUCACAAUCACUAGACCUGAUAUUGCUUAUUCUGUAAGUUUUAUCAGUCAAUUUAUGCACUCUCCCUCUAUGAUUCACUGGGAGAGUGUCAAAAGGAUACUCAGAUACUUAAAGAGAUCCAUUGGCAGAGGCUUGCUCAUGCAGAAACAUGGUUCAAAUCAUAUUAUGGCAUACACUGAUGCUGACUGGGCGAGUAAUGCUCUCGAUCGCAAGUCUACCACUGGUUUCUGUACUUUUGUUAGUGGCAAUCUUGUAACAUAGAAGAGUAAAAAAUAAACUGUGGUUGCACGAUCAAGUGCUGAGGCUGAGUAUAGAGCCAUGGCAGCCACAACUUGUGAAUUAAUUUGGUUAAAAAGUCUCCUAACGGAUCUUGGCUGCGUCAACAAGGAACUGAUGUCCUUGUUUUGUGACAACCAAGCUACCAUGGAUAUAGCUUCAAAUCUGGUCUUCCACGAAAGAACAAAGCACAUUGAAGUUGAUUGCCAUUACAUCCGUGCACAAGUCCAAUCCAAAAUCAUCAACACCGUGUAUACUCGAAGUUAUGAUCAACUUGCUAACUUGUUUACAAAAGCUCUCGAUUCUACUCAUUUCCAAAGAUUCCUGAGCAAGCUUGGAUCAAUCAACCCUCUUGAUCCAGCUUGAGGGGGAGUAUUGAAACUGAUGUGUUAGGAGCAUGGGUUGAUGUCUGUCCGUGGCACAUCAAGGUCAAGUUGUGACUGCAACUUUUUCCUUAUUUUUGGGUAGAGUUGCAGCUGCCACUAAACCGUCACUUUGUGUUCUUCCUUAAUUCUAGGGUUUAUGUCUUCUAAUAGAUUUCUUGUAAGUUGUAUCUAGGGCUAGCCUUUUUCUCUCUAGUUACUUCUUUGUAGCUGUUAGCAUUUGUUUAUUGGGUAGGUUUUCCCUUCCUUUCUCGGUCUCCAUAUAUGAGACCUCUCUCUUGUAAUUUGAUUCUGAUUGUACCAGUAUAGGAUGAGAUUCUUACUUGUACAUCAAGCAUAUAUGUUGUAUAAAUAUAAGCCUUUGUGUUAUGAAUAAAAUCAUUCAGAAUAUAUUUUCUUUAUUAGGGGUUAGACGAGUGUCAAUUGAAAGAUAAAUUCUAAGCCGAGUUUUUUGGUGAAGAAAUUCAGUGGAAGCUAACAAUGCAUUACAAGAUAGUUGUGGUGUCAUGCCUAAAGAUAUAUAAUUAAGGGAUUAAGGGCUAAUCACAAUGAUUUUUUACAUGGGUACUAUACCAUGGUUAAUCUUCAUGACCUCGAACUUGUGGUGACCUCAGAUUUUUUUACAUAAGUACUAUACCAUGUUUUUUUGAUAUGAAACCUCGUCGGUAGCAAUUGGAACUUGUUUGUAUUGAUAAACUAUGAACGACAUUAAUAUAGUCUAUUAUGUAAAAGGGUUUUAAAUUUCGCCUCUUCUCCCCCUAUUCCUGGCUUCGUCGCUGGUCACAGAUUUGAAAAGGAACACACAUAUCACUUAUUUAAUACACAAACACAUACAAUUUCUACAAACAAUCGAAAUUAAAUGAAAUUAUGGAUUAUAUUUGUCGGCGAUUAAGAGCUGACCUUCAAGAAGUCUUGCAGGGCGACGCCAGGGAGGUAGAAGGAAUGGGCGCCAUGGACGAGAAGUAAGAAGAUCGCAGAGAUCGCCAGGACUGCCGGGGAUUUAUGAGAUGCCAUGGCCUCCGACUGAGAGAGAGAAGAGGAGGCAUGUGUAGGUGUAGAGAGGAGGCAAAGGAGGAGGAGUUAGUUUAUUUGUUGGUGUUUAAUAGUUCGAUUCGUAUUUACUAUUGCGUAGAAAUAAAAUAAAAUAUAUAUUUACUAAAGCGCCAAAUGAAAAAAAAAAAAACAUGUAUAAAGUAUGUUAUGUUUACUUUUUGGUGCGGCUCAAAUCAAUAAAAAAUAGGAAACUUUAACGAAAAGCACCCGGUACUGUUCACUUUAACGAAAAACCACAUUUUUACACUAAAAAGUCAAUUCUUGUACUAUUCACUUUACCCUUUAUUUUGUCCUUAUCGUUAAAACUCAAAGUUUUCAAGACCUUUUCAUUAGUUUUCCUUAAAAAAUAAACAAACUGUUUUCAAAGUAGUGAAAAAUAUUUAAAAAAUUAAAAUAAAGUAUUUGAGAGUGUUGAUGCCAAGAGCUUGAUGCCAAAUUCCGACUCAACUUCAGCAUACCAGGUGGAGAAACUUAUUAUGUUGUCAAAAACUAACGUUGGAGCCUUCACCGUGGAAUUGAAGCCUCGGUUGGACAGUUGUGACAUCAAACAUCAAAUCUUUAAUUUUUAGAAAAAUUAAUGAAAAGUUCAAAAAAAAAAUUUAGUUCUAAUGAAAAAAGACAAAUAAAAGUGUAGUGAAUAGUACCAUGAAAAGGUAAAAUAUGAUUUUUCAUUAAAAAUAAACCAUACCAAAAGUAUUUCGUUAAAACUACCUUAAUUUUUUUCUAGUAUUGAUAAUAAACAUAUUACACUAAGAAUAAACGGUAAAGACAAACACAUUAAUGCACAGAGAAAUAAGCCCUCUUCAGAUAAUUAUUAGCAACUGUUAUAUGUGUCUUAUAAUUUUUAUCCAAUUUAAUUUUUCGGAGAAGGACUUGGAGAAGCAACCAUGGAACUACUCUCUCUCUUUUUAAAACUUCAUUGAUAAUUCAGCCAUUGUUAAUCAAAUUCAAAAACUGGUGAGGGUCCAAAUUUAUUGAACAUAGGCUGUCAGUCCAAAGUUAUUAUAAUUUAGUUGCAAAUUGAAAUACUAAUAAAUCUGAACAAUUUUAGAGAUUGUAUAUAGCUUGAAUUUAGAAAUUUAGACGGACCCUCCUUCUUUUGUUGUAUUGCUCUUAAUGUAAAUUCAAUCAGAUAUGAAUGCAAACUAAACUUAUUUUACUAUGCAGAUUAAGUUGCCUUGAUUGGUUACUAAAUUAUAUAGAAAUAGGUGUGAUAAAUUAAGGUAAUGUGGAGUGAACUUUGAGUUUCAUGGAGUGAAAUGAUGACUUUUGAGUUUCAGAGGGCAAAGUGGGAUCGAAAUCAAGUUUCCGAAGGCAAAGUGAAAUCAAAAUGGAGCGAAUUUGACAGAAGAAACGGAAACAUAGUAAAGUAGAGUGAAUUUUGAGUUUCAUUGAGUAAAGUGAUGACUUUUGAUUAACAGACGGUAAAAUGAGAUCAAAAUUGAGUUCUAAGGGGCAUAACGAAAAAUAAGCCUGUAUAAAAACCCAACCAAACUUAGACACCGCAUCAGUAAGUGGCGGACUAUGGGCAUCUCGUAGGGAUGACAAUGAGACGGAUUGGGUUCGGAUAUGCCAUCCUCAUAACUGAACCCGAUAAUUUUUUCCGAACUCGAAACCGUAGAAUCCCCGAAUGGAGAUUGCCCAUAACCGAACGUGGUAGGUAACGAAUUCCCCAUUAGGUAACAGUUUCCCCAUGGUUAGGGAUGGCAAAGGAGAAAGCAAGAGGCUGCUGGCCGUAUGACGCUGUCAUUUUUGUAUUUUGUAUGAGAAUAAAAAGAGGAAUUCAUAAUAACAGGGACAAAGUUUGCUGGAGACCUUUGGGUUUCAAUGAAAUAAGAGGAAUUCAUAAAAGAGGAACAAAGCACAACGUGAUUACAAACAGACAACAAAGCUAUGCAAAGAAAUGGAAUAAGAAAAAAUAGUUGGAAAGAGGAGCUUAAGUCCUGAUUCUCCUCCAUCCCAACUAAGCCAAAAAGCUGGAAAACAAUUCAAUUUUGGAAGGAAAUUUAUUCAGUUUCUCAUGCAAAUUGUCCUAGAUUCCAUCGUUUGAUUGAAAGCAUAGAAAUUUUUGGAAUAAUGUUGUUGGAGACCCUUGAAGUCUGCACGCUCAAGACCUUUAAAGUCUCAUAGAAUCCCUUAAUGGAUAAAGUUGCUAGAGAAAAUAAAUAAAAACAUAUAAUAAAUAUUUUUAUUUUUUACUAAAGAAUGAAAACGGGACGGUUUCGGGCACAGGUAUAGGGUAGAUACCCUAAUAAUCAAAAUCGAACCCAAAAUUGGAUAAUUUACCCGACGGUUACCUAUAACCACAAAAUACUUGAAAUUUGAUCCCCGAAAC